UAUUAACUUUAUAGGGCUCAUUUCUAAUUUUUUACCGGGGUUAUAUUUAUAUACUAAUUUAUUAGAGAUGUAAGUAUCAGAUGCCAGAUAGGUGAUCUACUGAUCUAUGUGAUUUUCAGAGACAUUAGGCUUUCAGGCAUCAGUCGUCUUGCAUAAAUAUCAUGUGCCCUAGCAUUUUCAUGGCAUUGUUCCUUAUGUUGUGAACUUGUAAUGUAGACUGGAUUUUAUGUUCUACUACAAUGGUGAAUUUGUGAUGCAUGUGCCAUGUAAACCGAUUGGAACUUAUUUGGUUUGAGCCCACAAGAGACCUUGCCUGAUAGAACCAAUGCCCAAAACCAGGGCACUGCCAAGAUUGCGGCAAAAAAAGCGGCAUUCAAAAAGUUAAAUUCAUUGGGCUCGGCACUCCCUUUUUGCGGAGUUAUCCCAGCUUUUUUGUGAGCUAAAUGUGACUGUUGAAACACAUUACUUUCUUUUCAUUCUUUUCUUCAGAUUUAAACAUAAAUAUCAAACGAAGGUAUCCUCCUCUUGAUGUAUAAUUUUGUAGGAAUGUAAUCUUUUAAGAAACUUUCUGAUGAGAGCCGUUCAAUCGUGGUUGUCAAAUUCAUGUAUAAUACAUUCCUUUGAUCUUGAUUCCGUAGCAACCUAGAUCCUCUUUGACUCAAAAGAUUAUCACAAUGUAAUGAAAGAAAGCAAACGAAUGAAGUGGCACAUCCGUUCUAAUCCAAUAUGAUAAGAAAACCUAAUACAUUCGAAAACAAAUGAAUUGUAGCAAGAGGUCUGAGUGCAUGUAAACUUUCCUCUAAAAUCGAGUGCAAAGGAAUUUCUUUCUUAGAGAAAAUUCUUAAGGAUUCGAAUCCUGACAAUCAGACGGCCUAUGUUCAUUUUUUUCUUUCUAAGGAUCAAAAUCCCCCAAAAAACCUUAUAAAAUUCCUUGGAAGCAAAGGAGCCCUUAUUUCCUUUCUUUUUAAGAAGUCUAAUACUCCUACUCCCUCUGUAAACAAAUAUUAGAUCGUUUAUAUCACACUAGAUCUUAUAUUUGUUUUUCAGGGAGUACUCUCUCUCUCUCUCUACUAUAUCUUAUACUCCCUCCGUCCCAAAAUAAAUGAUUCGACCUUGUACUAACUUUGUAGAAAAUAAGUGACUCGACUUUGUACUAAUUUUGUCACUUAUUUUGGGACGGAGGGAGUAUUUGUUUUCAGAGGGAGUACUCUCUUUCUCUCUCUCUCCUAAUUUCCCCAUCUAAAAAAUUUUAAAACCAAAUUUCUCCAUUUUUUUCUUGCUCAUUUCUGUUUAAAAGAUUCAAAAGCAUUUGUGCACAAAAUUGUGUGUGCCGACCCAGAAGUUUGGCUGGGUUCCAAACGGGUUGUAGGCUCAAGUUUGGUUCAGGUCCGGGUUGUAGUGCUUGUAUCUUCCCUUGACACGGAUAAGCUGCGCAGGUCGGAGGCGGAGGCGGAGGCGGCAGCCUGACCGGCGAUGGAGGGGAAGCCGCUGCAUCUCCUCCUCCCCCACCCCCACCCUCGCCCCCCAUUCCCAGGCCACCUCCCCAACCACGGCCUCCCGGAGCCCCGCCUCCGCCUCUCCCUCCACCACCGCAACCCGAAGGCGAGGCAGCUCGCCUUCUCCCCCCGGCCGCCCAACAGCCAACCGGCCACGCCCGGCCGGGGAGGCUGGGAGUGGGCGCGGGGCGCCUCCGCGGCGGCGGCGCUGGCGCUCCACCUGGCCGUCUGCUCCCUCCUCAUCCUCUUCCCCGCCCCGGCGGCACGCGCGUGCGCCCAGCCGCCCCCUCCCCCCGCUGCCGUGGAGGCCAAGGAGCAGGAGGAGGGCGACGAGGAGUGGGAGGCCGCGCUGCAGCAGUGGAAGUCCAAGACCUACGCGCUCUCCGUGCCCCUGCGCGUCGUCGCGCUCCGCGGCUCCUUCCCUCCCGCGUGGAUCAAGGUCCGGUCCUUCUCCCUCCCCCGCACUUUACAGCAUUUGCUUUGACUACAAAAUAAUUUUGGCUUGUUGUUUAUAGGAUUUCAUUGAAGCACAGGGGAAGAGGCUCAAAUUCAGCCCUGAGUUCCGCCCUAGUAUCGACGCGCUCUUCUCUGAGUUGUCAAAAUGUGUGGACAAAGGUCAGGUUCAGCCCAAAUCUGCGAUGGCAGCUGAUGUCGUUUCUAUUGGGGACUCUUGGCUCGGCUACGCCAUCCGUAAGGGACUGGUAGAACCUAUCAACAAUGCUGAAGAACAGGAUUGGUAUCGGAGCCUAAGUGACAGAUGGAAGGUGAGAAUUGACAAGUUGAAGCAUCCUUCCUCUCUUAGCAAUUCUGAUAGUUGCACUGGUCCCUGUUGUUAAUGUUGUGUUGCCUUGUAUGCUGUGAUAAUGAAUGCGGACGGCUGAUGUGUUGUUUAAUUUGUGUAGAUGACAAAACUUAUAAGAAGGAUAUUCUAUCAUGUGAAUGGCAAUGACAAUGUGGUUUCUAGUGCAAUCUUCAUAACUAGAAUAACAUCUCCAUUCUCAUUAUUUACUUUGGUCAUACUCAUUUCCUUCCAGAAAAUAUCAUAUUUGUGAAGCAUAACUUAAAUGUACCCCCUGAAUAGGCUGAAAUGAAUUAGUCAAUUCAAGUGAGGAUGUCCCGUGGUGUAGUUUCCAUUUCAUUAUAGUCUAUCAGGUUCAUUUGUGCAGGAACCAGAAUGGAGAGGCAGAUUCUAAUGGCUCGGUAUGGGGUGUUCCAUACAGAUGGGGCACAGUGGUCAUUGCAUACAAGAAAAGCAAGUUUAAGCAGCAUAACCUGAAGCCAAUACAGGUAAAAGGAUUCUUCAGAGAACAUCCAACAUUAUGCUGAAGAUACAAUGUCAACUAUACAAUGAUUAAAUUAUCCUUAAAAGCUUACCUUGGGGGUAAAUAAAAAGACGUAACAUAGCACUGAAACAUGCCUUUUGCUAACACUGAUUGAGGUUGUCUGUUUUGCUAUUUAUAAUAUCUUUGUGAAUAGAGACACAUAUAUAGAUGAUGGCAUUGUGCAGGCAGACAUCAGCGUGGUAGCUACUCAUAUAGAUGUAUUAUCUGUAGGAUUGGGAGGAUUUGUGGAGGCCUGAACUUGCUGGGAAGAUUUCAAUGAUUGAUUCUCCCAGAGAAGUAAUUGGUGCAGUCCUUAAGCAGUUGGGAUCAUCAUAUAACACGAUUGACAUGGAAACAGAAGUCAAUGGUGGUAGAGAAGCAGUCCUAAGCAGCUUUACACAGCUACAAAAACAGGUUUGUACCAACUAACCCAUUAUCUUCUCUGUAUGUUUCUUGCUUUCCAUCUACUGUGUUCGAUCUGGCAAGUGAAGUGAUGGUCCAAAGUAUUUUUGUGGAAAGGACAAAGUGACCCUUUAAUAUUAGGAACAGAAAUUAACAAAAUCUUGAAUUAUGAUGUGUUGCGUUGGAUUUAACUUUGGCAUCCUUCUGUAGGUCCAGCUAUUUGACAGCAUGAACUAUCUGAAAUCAUUUGGAGUUGGGGAUGUUUGGGUCACAGUGGGUUGGAGCAGCGAUGUCAUCCCUGCUGCAAAGCGAAUGUCCAAUGUCGCUGUUGUUGUUCCCAAGUCAGGCAGUAGCCUCUGGGCUGAUUUAUGGGUAUGUUAUGAUUUUCCCACGCUUAAUUUCAUUACUAUGACUGUCAAUCCAUGGGGUAUGUCGCAGCUGUUGUUGCUUCAUUGCAAUAGUGAGCCUACUGUCUUAUUGGUUGCAUUGUUUUAUGCACUACAGGCCGUACCUUGUGCGACAAGGUUUCAGACUGAUCGAAUCGGGGGCAGAACUAGAGGCCCAUCUCCACUCAUCCACCAGUGGUUCGACUUCUGUCUGCAGAGUGCCAGAAGCUUGCCCUUUCGCCAGGAAAUUAUCCCAGGAGCAUCGCCGCUGUUCCUUGAGAACCCAGCUCCAGAGGUUCUGCAAGAUCGAAACAAGAAGAAGCCAAAGCUGGAGAGUAACCUUCUCAGGGGAGUGCCUCCCCCUGAAAUCCUGGAAAAAUGUGAGUUCUUAGAACCUCUAUCGGACAAAGCGGUGGGUGACUACCAGUGGUUGAUGUCGAGAGUGCACAGACCACGCGGCGGUCUGCUUGGCACCAUGCUGCAAAAGAUAUCAACCAUGCUAGACUUAAAAUCGAGAUUUUAGAGCACACACCUAUCGAUACGAAGUUUAUCAGUCAUCAGUAUUUUUUCGAGCUGACCAGUGACCACUAACAAACCAAUAGUUCAAACCAUGCAUAGGAUCCACUUUUUACAGUACCACUUCUAAAAACCUCUCUUUGGAGAUUUAAUGUAAUCUGACUCUGAGAUUCGGACGAGAAAUGCUGCGGAUCAUCUCUGAAACUUUCUUGGUUGGUAAAGGAACAAGGUACGACUUGUUGAGCACCACAUUUAUAGGUCUUGUUGCACUGCAUCUGGAUACUAGCAUCUCUAAGAAUUCCACCUGGUCAUCUUCUCCCAUGAACGUAUUGAUCUCUAUCUCUUCAAGUGAAUCGAGGGUCAUAUUGUUGGCUCUGUAACUCUCCGGCAAGCGACAUGGACAAGCCGUCGAGCAUGGAUCUUCCUGAAAAUAAUCAUGUAGAUGCAAUAUUAUUCAAGAAUUGUAAUUUUUUAACAAAAUACAGUGACUACAUUAGGCAAAGAGCUAGAGUACAUAGUGCAUUAAUUAUGCUACUAUAUGAUUUUGGACCCCCUUAGCGGGCGAACGGUUGCCGGGAGGGGUGGCAUUUGCGAACGUUUUGAUUGCAUUUUUAGUUUGUGUGUGGGGUGGCAGUUUAUUCAGAACUGCAUGAUAUUUUCUGGGAUGAAGGCUCAAAACUGUCGUCGUCCCAGAAAAUGCCAUAUUGCUUUGAAGAAACUGCCACCUACGACACAACUAAAACUGCCAGCAAAAAUGUUCGAAAUGCCAAACUCCUAGCCUGUUUUUACUGAAACCUUGGGCCAAUGGGCUAAGGAGAGGCAAAACUAUGAGGUUUAGCCUGUUUUUACUGAACAUACGGCACAAAAACUAACGAGUNNNNNNNNNNNNNNNNNNNNNNNNNNNNNNNNNNNNNNNNNNNNNNNNNNNNNNNNNNNNNNNNNNNNNNNNNNNNNNNNNNNNNNNNNNNNNNNNNNNNNNNNNNNNNNNNNNNNNNNNNNNNNNNNNNNNNNNNNNNNNNNNNNNNNNNNNNNNNNNNNNNNNNNNNNNNNNNNNNNNNNNNNNNNNNNNNNNNNNNNNNNNNNNNNNNNNNNNNNNNNNNNNNNNNNNNNNNNNNNNNNNNNNNNNNNNNNNNNNNNNNNNNNNNNNNNNNNNNNNNNNNNNNNNNNNNNNNNNNNNNNNNNNNNNNNNNNNNNNNNNNNNNNNNNNNNNNNNNNNNNNNNNNNNNNNNNNNNNNNNNNNNNNNNNNNNNNNNNNNNNNNNNNNNNNNNNNNNNNNNNNNNNNNNNNNNNNNNNNNNNNNNNNNNNNNNNNNNNNNNNNNNNNNNNNNNNNNNNNNNNNNNGCUUUGCUUCUCCUGAGGAGAUGCAGCAUGGUUGGAACAAAGCCGUGGUGAUCCCCCGUUAACGAUACCGAUAAUACGGUCUGACACACGGGAAGAUUGUUUACAUCGUCCAAGAAGCUAGUAUACCCCUCCAUUCCCUGAAAAACAGUAAUCGGAAGCACAAAAACGAAUCAUCAAAAUCAAAGGACCAAUUGACACGCAUCGUUUGAUCAAACAAUCCAUGGAUUCAUAGGUACAGAAGCCAAUUAACUGGACGUACAAUGAGGGCAGACAAUCUCAGCUCGUCGACCGCAUCGAACCGCCGCGCCCUCGGGGGCGCCACCGCGUUUAGGUACAGCUGCGUGAUGUCCAGCCGCCGGAGACGACGAGGCACGUCGUCGGCGAAGUGGUGCCGGUGCAGGCGCUGGACCUUGGCCUCGGCGAGCCUCGGGGCCGAGAUGUGAGCGUGGUGGAGGAAAGACGCGACGAGCACCUCGAGCAUGGGGGCGGCGACCCCGAGCCGCUGGGCGCACCCGGCCCCGAACUCUAGGCGCCUGAGAGAGGCGGAGCGGAUGGAGACGUCCGAGCAGGCCACGAGGCUAACGCGCAGGGUGAGGUCCGUCAGGCGCGGGCACAUGGACGACACGAACGCCCCGAGCUCCCGCCCGUCCAUGGCGGCCGACUGUAUCGUCAGCACGGUGAGCGCCGCGAACGAGGCCGCCGGCCGGAGCCGGAGCACGAACGCCCCCGCGAGGGAGAGCGCGAUCUCCGUCGCCCUCCCGCACGGGGGCAGUUCGACCUCCUGUCCGUGGCCGUGGGUGAUGGUGAUGGGCUCUGAGCGGGGCAGGGCGAGGGACAGCGUGCCGGCGACGCGCUCCGAGGCGACGCGCAGCCACGAGGAGACGCGGCGAGCUUCGAUUCGGCAGAGCCUGACGUCGGGCACGGCGAUGGUGAGCGCGGCGACGUCGACGUUGGAGGCGGAGUAGGCGGCGAGGGCGCCUUCCACGGCGCGCAGGAAGGAGCUCGGCGGCCGGCCCGCCACGUGGAGCUCGUCGAUGACGAGCUCGGGGAUGCUGGUCCAGACGUGGCGCCAGCGGCGGGAGAGGAUGCCGGUCCGCGCGGCGGCGGGGAGCGAACGGAGGCGGAGGAGGAUGUCGCGCAGGAGGUCGUCGGAGAGGCCGCUGAUGCGAUCGUCGCUCCCAGCCUCCUCCAUGCUCGCACCCCGGAGUAUGUUUUUAGAUGGAUGUGCGCAGAGGUUGAUUAGGGAUAAUAAUAGAUUAUGUGAUUAAGUCAUGUAAAUCACAUGAUGUAAUCCUUUUUAGUCAUGGUCUUUUUUUUCUUCUGUAGUAGAUUUUUUUUGACAUCAUCUUCUGUAGUAGACAUUGUUGGCCGCCGGUGAAGGUGGCAGCGAGGUUCUCGGCCACUCCUUUGUUUGGGGCAAGGGCUAUGGACUCCGAGGCAGCGCCUCAGGCAGACAUGACGGUGUCCACCAGACGGCGGGUGACGUGCGCUGGUGCCGGGGGUCACCCCCCGGCUAUGCGGGCGGCGAUGAGUGUGGGUUGUGGUGCGUAGGGUACCCCGCGUUCCUUCGGUGCUAGAUCUGAAGACGACAUCUUCGAUCUGUGCUGCUCUCUCCAUCCAUCGGGCUUGGCCGGAUCAAGCGGAUAGCUAGGGGAAUAGGGAGGUAUGGAUAAGGGGAAUACCUUGGCCGGCGGUGGCGACCACGACGCCGACAACGCUUUGGACACAUUUCCCUCCUUGAAGGCGACGUCGAGGGAGAAGGGGGAUAUCUACCUCGACGUCCCCGCUGCUUCUCAUCAUUGCCAUGGAACCAUUGCAGCGGCUCCUAUCGAUGGCUGCAGAGCGUAACAUUCUAUCACCAUUGAGAUCUCGGAUUGCCCGCUUCCGAUCCAGCUUCUACGCUGACGACGCGGCUCUUUUCAUCAACCCCACCAUGGAUGAUUUUCUUGCUGUUCAAGCCAUUCUCAAGAUCUUUGGUAAUGCUUCUGGUCUGUCCACUAAUAUUAGCAAAACGGUGGCAUACCCCAUUGCCUGUCAUGGAAUGGAGCUGGAUCCCAUGCUGGUUGUUUUUGGUGGGAUACAAGGGGCUCUCCCAUGUAAAUAUCUGGGACUGCCUCUAGGUGUCAAGAAGCCCAGGAGGGCCGAGGUGCAGCCGGUGCUGGACAAGAUGGCGGGAAAGCUAGCGCCUAGGAAAGGCAGUUUGCUAAACAGGAUGGGGAGGCUGGUUUACAUCAACUCAGUGGUCACUAGCACUGCCAUUUUCUUCCUAACAGCUUUCCAACCGGAUAAAUGGUUCAUUAGAAAGGUGGACAAACUCAGAAGGAAUUUCCUAUGGGAAAUUGAAGAAAGAGCGGCUGGAGGCAAGUGUCUUGUAAACUGGAAGCGGGCCUGCUCCCCCAAGGUUGUUGGUGGUUUAGGUAUCAAGAACAUCGAGUGUUUCAGCCGGGCCUUGCGCUUGAGAUGGGAAUGGUUCAGAUGGGAUGACGCCGAUCGACCGUGGAAAGGAUCUCCUACCCCGUGCGACGCCAUUGAUAGACAGCUGUUCUCGAGCUGCUCCUCUAUUCAGUUGGGUGAUGGUCGACUUGCGCUGUUCUGGAUGGACAGAUGGAUGCAUGGGGAGGCCCCUUAUUUGAUUGCACCGGAGAUUUUCAAGUUGGCGCGGUUCAAGAAAAUUACUGUAAAAGAGACUUUCACAAACGGCCGAUGGAUGCAAGGUCUGCAAAGAAUGAACAACGAUGAGCAGCUAGCACAAUUUGUCAGAAUUUGGGAGGAGGUUCAGCUGGUGAGCCUGUCGGAAGCAAAAGAUGUGAUCAGGUGGCUAACGGCUCCUACUUUGCGUGCUCUGCGUAUGGCAUUCAGUUUGCGAUCAGGAUCGAGCAGCCGGAUCUUGAGAGAAUAUGGAGAUGCAAGAUGGAGGGGAAGAUCAAAUUUUACGUUUGGUUACUCCUGCAGAACAGGAAUUGGACGGCGGAUCGACUGCUAGCGCGGAAUUGACCGCAUAAUGAGCGGUGCAAGUUGUGUGAUCAAGAGCCUGAAUCUGCAAUGCAUUUGACGCUGGGGUGCUCUUUCGCAAAGGAGAUAUGGUUCCACUUCCAGGGAUCAAACAGCAGGAUGUGGCGUAUUGCGUCUUCGGCUAGCUCGAUUACAGAUUGGUGGAGAGAGCUAUGCUCCGAGCGCGGGCCGACGAACACGGUGCAGGAGGAUAUCACGUUGGCGGCCUACAUCGCCUGGCACCUAUGGAACGAGCGCAACAGGAGGAUCUUUCAGCAGAAGGAAUUGACUGUGUUCAUGUUGGCUGAUUUAAUCAACGAUAAUGUAAAAUUAUACAAAGAGGCUACUGGGCAGGGUCAGGUUAUUACGUAAAGCCUGCCCUGGGAGUAACACCGAGUGUUCUUGGGCAGUCCCUAUCCUAUCCGGGGCCUGUCCCAGAAGGAUGUUGUAAUGUCUGAUUUUUUCCUCUCUUCUACUAUAAUGCAAAAGCAGAGCUCCUGCUAUUCCCGUCAAGAAGGCGACGUCGAGGUAGAUAUCCCCCUUCUCCCUCCCGUGCACCAAGGUGAAAACCCUCAAUCCUUGGAAUCGGGCGGCGACGGCACUCGACGUCAUCACCUCCUUGGAGGUAGUGUUUUCGGUAUGUGUGGGUGUGUGCCAGUGUGUGGGAAGUUGCUUGUUCCGUGUGCUUCUGGUGGAGGUGUUUUUCAUUUCUAGUGGUGACGCGCCUCCGUGGAGGUUUGGUUUCCUCCUCGACUCGUCGUGUUCUUCUUCGUGCGGUCCAUUUUGUUCGACAGGUCAAUGCUCUUGACAUUGACCGAGAGGGGAAUAGGGAACACUCUACGGUGACAAUGAUGCAAUGGUGAUGAUGAGCGAUCGUGGUCUCGGCGGCUCCGACCCAUCCUAAUGGCUUUGUUGCUCAAUUCUUCGACCAUGCCUUCUUUGGGCGAUCUCAUUCCUAAAGCUUCGACAUGAUCCGUGAUGUGGGUGAUGGCAUUAGUCCGUGGGUAGUCUUCUUGGUAAGGUGGUUGCGGGCAACAUUUUGUUUAUUUGUCAGCUAGACCAUUGUUCGUGGGCGACCGUUCUAACUUACCGAUGGUGCGGCGCCCUUCAAUCAGAGGGUGAAAGGGCAUGUGUGCCUUCUUUCAGAGGUGGAUGCGAAUGGCAAUGUGAUGCUGCAUUAUAGCGUUUUGCUUCUUUGUUUGUGGUCCGUUAUCUUCUAUACUGUUGGGGUUGCGUCCUCAUUUUUCUUUUUCUUUUUCUUCUGUUUGCAAGUUGGUGUUUCACGUAAACCUAGUUGAUUGACGACUUUGUUUAUUUAAAGCCGGACUCAUCUCAAGCCUUUUUGUUCUAAAAAGUACUUUGGUACGAUGCUGUCGCAAUGUUUGUGAAAUAACCAAUGAAGAGGAAAAACAUGAAUUAAAAGAAAAUUUUAAGCAAUCGAAACGGGCAUAAAUAAAGCAGGUCCCGCGCACACCGCAGCAAGUGGCUCUUCUAUUCAUUCGAGACAUGAUACCAAGAGCAAAGAGGUACGAGGCAGUUCCAACAUUAUUCAUAUACGGAACAGUAUUAGUAAACUAGACUGGUGAUGGUAUCUUCAUCGAUCGCAUAUUCUGGCUUCAGAUCAGGAGGCCCCGCGGUGCAGGUGAUGCGCUACUUCUUGUGAGGCAGGAGCAAGCUGGUGAGGGCGUCGCGAGUCAGCAUUGCAGCCCUUAGCAGCUUCAGAACCUGCCAACAAGGAGAGCAACUCUGAAAUAACCAAGAACAAAUGGCUAGUUUUCAUGAGUGACGGUCAACUACAUUUCAGGCAUGAUCUGUUUAACAUUUGUGGGGUUAAUUACCUGGGCUUUGUCGAGAGUGAGAUCUUUCUCCACAAGCUUCUCCUUCGGAAUCCUAGCUGCGCUCAUGACUUGCAGAGUGUUGGUCAUGGUGAAAUCGAGGACGCGCAGGUCACUCGUCACCAGGAACUUUCUGAGCCCUCCCUUGACAUAUGCUGUGCUGACAAUUCCUAUGCCUUGGAACUUCGGGUUCGAUUCCGUGACAGUUACCUCCGUAGGGUACCUGCAACUGCAACCGGUUCGGCCGUAUGCAACUUUAACUGCACGACAGUUGAAGCAUGUGAAGGCCAGACUUCUUGGGCUCAUCUCUUCUGUUUGUAGUACAUUGCUGCUGCAACCAAAGAAGGGUGCCAACUUGGGAGCUAGAAGUACCGUUUGGCAUUCUUGUUUCAUCCAUGUUCUUGCGCUCUCGUCAAUAUUUCUAUAAAGACCAUCGAUGGACCCGUUUUGUGACCAUUGACCGUAUGUCUUGAUUAUGGAUCCAAGUGGAACGCAAAGCAACCCGAAGAGAAGAUCAAGAAAAUCCCCUCCGACUUCGGCAUACAACACCGAUGCCUUGUCCUUCGUAUGGACGAGCGUUAUUUCGACUGCGCUGAGCACGGGCUUACUAUCCUCACUGGCUUCUUUGGGAAACAGAUUUUCAGGUAACUGAUCCAAAUAUUUUGUCAGUGGGACUGAGAGGCAGACGUCAAAACAUAGUGCAGUCAAGGGUUGCUUGGAGAUCAGUACGUUCUUAAGCAACCUAAUUAUCUGCAAGAAAAAUGACGGUAUACCAAUGAAUUCUUGCAUUUUGUAGAGAUGAAUAGAUCAGAAGUUUUCUCGCAAAAAAAAGAAACAUAAAAUGAGAAGGAGUUUUUUUUUCUUUCGCGGGGGAUAAAAUGAGAAGGAGUUAGAGAGAGAGACUAACUUUCUUGGCAUUCAGUUCAAGAAUUUUCUCCUCAAGCUUGGCUUGAUCUUGUAGCCCAAACCUGUCGAGCAGGGAAAAGACAAGUCUUGUAGAAGCAGGAGCCACAUGGAGAUCAUCAGUGACGAUGUACUUCGGACCAUGUUUGACAAACACCCCAUCCCCAUAGUCUCGAACAGCAGCAAGAAGAUGCGGUGGACAUUUCCAGAAGCUUGACGAGCAGCCAUGUUUGCAACCAGGUGGUACAGAGCUAAACUGCCUGUGUGGUGCGCAAGUGUAAAAUCCACUUUGAUUGGUAUCGUCAAAUUUUACCUUGAGCCGAUCCAAGUGGAAUGCCGCAGCAUUGACAGGACUAAGAAGCAUGGCCUUGCAUUCCAUGGUUUGGAAGUGAUCUUGAUUGAGACUCUCCACACUCCUGUACAGUUCAUCAAGGCACCCUAUCUGAGACUGCUUGCCAAGAAGACGAACGAUCGUGCCGAGAGGCAGCGUGAGGAAGCUGAAGAGGACGUCGACGAACUCCUUGUCGGAUUCUGCGAACAGCACCCUUUUCUUCUCCUUGUCGACGAACAUCUUCACAGCUACUGUUGGUCCGCCAUCGCUCGACAUGGUCGAUCAAAAGUAUGUUUUAUUUGUGGAUGUUGUAGGUUCUAUCUCCUGAGCCAGAUGGAUCUUUAAGUACUCCACAGCCUCAAGGCUUGGCUGCGUUGCGUGGCAUCGGUAACAGCACAAUUAAAUGGCUGGGUGGAAUUUGAAGCGGCUAAAUUGAAGGCUUUGUGCGAAGAGUCUCUAUGGUGUCGAUCUUUUCAUUUCCCAAGAGGAUGAUAAUACUUGGAUUAUUUCUCCUCGGAAAGUUGCAUGGGCCUUUCCCAUGGAUGGAAGGCGUAUGGGCAGUAUGGCCGUACCUAGCUCAGCUUACAUGGCGAUCGUGGGAAGUGGAUUUUGUCUACGAAACUACGGGGCGGACGACGACGGGCGCCAGCCGAACUAUGCACGAUGCAGGAUUGAGCGGCCCUGUCAAAUUUUACCUGACGCAUGGACGGCUUGAUAUGUACCGUCGUCUGCAAAUCGUCCAACAUAUGUCGUGUGUAGCAGCAUUUUUUUCCUAACUCACUGGGCGCACAACGCGUAUCCGGUCCACCCAUCCUGCAUGCAAGUCAGAUCAACUAUCCUACAUGCACGUCAAAUCAACAGGCUGAUGUGCCUUGCCGCAAAAAAAAAACAAAAAAAACAGGCUGAUGUGACUCUCUCUUCUCUCUCCCAAACAAACCCAUCAUCUUAUUACCCCCUUGUAAAACUUGAAUCAUUUAUAUCUUCUAAACUAAUAUUUUAAUUUUUUUAUAUUUGAACUUCUGACGCAAAUUGAAUUUUUUUUCAUCAAAGUUCCGUAAACUUAAAUUGUGCGUGGCUCAAACAAGUUCCAUAAACUUUUCAUCAAAGUUCAGGCAAGUUGUUUAUAAAAUUCUUUGGUUUCAAAUAUAUCUGGCCAUGGACCGGGCCUAAAAAAGCCCAUGGCAGAAAACUGAGGCCCAGGCCCUACCAGGCCCAACCAUAGGGCCUACUUUUCAAGCCCAAGCCCGACCCAUCUGGUAAAAAGCCCUUAGGGCUUAGAGCCGUGGGCCAGGCCUCUUCCUUAAAAUGCCAAUAUGCCAAGCCCAAGCCCGUCCAGGCCCUGCUGGUGGGCUCAAAACUCAGGCCCAAGCCCGGCCCAUGGGCAAGCCCAUCGGGCCUAGGCCCUGGAUUUUAGGGCCGGGCCUGGGUGGGCCGACAGGGCCGGGCCUGAGAUGGCCAGGACUAGUUUCAAAUACAUUUUCUAGCAAAGUUCUUUAAUAUAUUUCUAACAAAGUGCAAACCAACUGUUCAAAAAGUUCUUCAACUUCUGAUUCUGUUUAUUUAGCACUUUACAAUAAAAAUGAGAAAUUCUUCAUUGUUUUCAGCAAAGUUCCUCACUAAAAAUAUUGAUAAGCCGCUAAACAAUCAUAUUUCAGUUUUAGUCACAAAAAUGUGUUUGAAAAUUAUCCAAGACCUAUCUUGUUCUAUAGAUCUUGAUGUCGGUUCAAAUAUAUAAAAGGUUUCAAAAACAAAAUUUUGAUUAUAAAGAUAUGAACCAUCUAAAUUGUCAAAAGAAAACUAAAAGUAAUGAAGUUUGAGGAAAGAGGAAAGAUAUUGUAGGCAUGCAUGCGUCAGACCGUGAGAUGGAAAAGAGAGAAACAGGGGCAUGCACAUGCAAAGGGCUCGGAUCCUAUGUUGGAGCAGCGGCUAAGAUAUGCGUUGCGCGCGCUAGGAUUUGCCUUAUUCGGCGAUUGUGAGCACCGCUGCAAUCCAAGUUCUUCAUUUGGCUGGCGCAGCAAGAUCGUUGCCGGACGGCGGACCGCCUCCUUCGUCGUGGGCUACUGCAUGCUAUCGACUGCGUCAUGUGCAACCAGCAGCCCGAGACGAUGAACCACCUGCUCGUCGACUGCCCCUUCGCCCGUCAAGUGUGGCACAACAUGUUGGCCUGGUGCAGAUCGACUUCCCGCCCACCCAACGCCGGUGUUGGCUUCCUGGAGUAGUGGGCUGCAGAGCUUGAUGCGUCACUGACUGUCCAUCGUAGGGGCCUUUCCACCUUGAUCAUCCUCACUGCAUGGUCAAUCUAGAAGGCACCGACGCGUGCACCUUCGACGCCAAGCUACCCUCUGUGCCUCGGCUUACCAUGCACUAGGAUGAGGCUCGGCUAUGGGCUCAUGCCAGUGCUAGCGGCCUGAACUCCAUCAUUCCUGAGAUAUAGGUCUUAUGUAAUAUAGGGCGGCCUCUUGGCCAAAGUCCACCCAAAUGUGCACGCCAUUCGUUUGUGUAUGCGUCGUUUGGGUGGCGAUAGCAAUACUCUUGUAUCACCUUCUCCUAUCAAUGCAAUUAUACGCAUUUUUUUUGCAUAUUCACGAAAAAAGCUUUGCGGUAGGAAGUAUGAAGUGAUCUAUUCUGCAAAUCCAAGGUGUGUCACUUUGUUUUCUAAGCACUAAAUCAUACUACCUCUCUUCCAGUUUAUAGGGCUCAAUUCAAAAAUCUCACCAAUCAAGGUAGAUGGUGAGUGAUGAAAUAUUUUUUAUAGUUUAAAAGCACUCAAUUAAUGUGCUCGUUUUUCUAAAAAAUUUGUGUUUACCAAUGCAUUAAUUGCAAUGCAUGCAUGAAAGAAAAAUAAAUGGCCAACAACUUCUACAUGCAAUGGUCAAAUUUCUCUCAAUCCUUGCAUGCAACGAUUUAAUGCACCUUAAAAUCUGAACAUGUGAUGGGAAACAAUCAAUUUGACACUAAUAAAACAAAAAAACAAUUUUUUUGAUAUAAGCCAAAACCGGUAGGGAGGGAGUACAUCGAGGCCCCGUGUUGCUCUGGCGAGCGACACAGGCGCAAUCUUUCACUUUAUUUCUGCAAGCUACUGUUACAAUGCGAGUGUGAAUGUGUCUUGGCCCUUCCGGUGGUGUAUAGGGCGGCCCAUGAUGAAAACAAAGACGAUUUCCUUGCUGGAAUGACCUCCUUUUACUCUAAUCUGACUAUACCUUACACAGUGGGUGGUGACAUUAACAUAUUGAGAGGUUGUGAAGGUAACAAUUAAAAAAAUGGCCCAUUCUCAAUAUGUUGACAAGUUCAGUCCAGUUCAGUUAUUAAUGCUAUGAAUUUGAGAGAAAUUCAUCUUAAUGGGGGCAAGUACACGUGGUCUAAUAAACAAUCGCAUCCUACUUUGGAAAAACUUGAUAGGGUCCUUAUGAGCUAUGAAUGGGAAGAUCCUUUCCCCCUUGUCUCGGUACAUAAGUUCGUCAGAGACAAUUCAGACCACAACCCCUUACUGCUCUCAUCUAAUGCCUCGAAACCUUGGCCUCCUAAGAAAAGAGAAUUUUGUUUUGAACUUAGUUGGCUCAAAAAAGAGGAAUUCCUUCCUUUGUCCAAGGGCAUUUGGGAGAAACUAGUUAGAUCGGAGGAUCCACUUGACAUUUUGAAUAUCAAACGUAAAAGAAUCAAAAAGUUCUUCAAAGGCUGGGGCUUGAAUGCUUUUGCUCAUGCAAAAAAGGAAACAGGAAAUCAAACUAGAAUUGGAGGAGAUUGAAAGAAUUGAGGAAGUGGGUCCUGUCGAUGCUGAUCUUUGUUGUCGAAGGGCUUCACUUCUCUCCGAACUCAACGAGAUUCUUAAUAAUGAGGAGUUGUUUUGGCUCCAACAAUCUAGCGAGCGAUGGUUAUCGAAGGGGACCAAAGUACGGCAUAUUAUCAUCGUAUUGUGAAUGGUAGAAAAUGUAAAAACACCACCCACUCCUUUACCAAUGGUGAGGUGACCAUUGAGGGGACAGAAACCCUCCUAAACUAUGCUACUUCCUAUUACAACGAACUCUUUGACCCAGCCCUCGGAAACUUGUUUCACCUGUCCCCUGAUACCUGGGGUGAUCAUGAGAAACUGACAGAAGUUGAUAGUGAAUUUUUAAUGGGGGGAUUUUCAAAAACCAAGGUUAAAACUACUCUUUUUGGGAUGGAUAGUAGUAAGGCUCCGGUUCCUGACAACAUUCCCACGGAGUUCUACCAGUGUUGAUGUGAUUCUGAUAAACCUAAUAUCAUGCGUCUUUUUGAGGCAUUCAAUGAUGGCUCUCUUGAUGUAGCUCGUCUUAACUACUGGAUUAUACCUUGACCCCCAAGUUGUUGGGUGCAAAAAAGAUACAACGAUUCUUCCUGAUUUUCAUUUUAUUGUCCAUACAAACUAAUCACCAAAACACUCGAUAGUCGGGUUGCGGUCUUUGUUGAUAAAUUAACCAGCCGCCAUCAAAAUGCCUUCUGAGAAAAAAAGAAACAUUAUGGAUGGAAUUCUGACUUUGCAUGAGAUCCUUCACCAUACCCAAAUUAAGAAAAAUAUUGGUAUAGUUCUUAAGCAUGAUUUUGAAAAAGCAUACGCCACUUGGUGUGAGUAGACCCGUAAAAUUCUUUACAAUGGAACUGUUACCAUUAAGUUGAAUAAUGAAACUAGGCCUUAUUUUCAAAGUCAUAAGGGCUCCACCAGGGGCUACCCCUUGUCUUUUUUUUAUUUAACCCAGCAGUCGAGAGCCUAUCCAAGAUGAUUUCUAAUGCUCAAAAAGAUAAACAUAUCUUAGGCCUUGCUCUUGGCUCGUUCAUCGUGGUAUCGCGGUCCUGCAAUAUGCAGAUGAUAGAAUACUCUGCUUUGAAGACGACCCCCUUGCAGCUGUUAAUCUCAAACUGUUGUUGUGCCUUUUUAAGCUUAUGUCAAGAUUGAAAAUUAAUUAUCUAAAAAGUGAGAUCCUUUGUGUGGGUGAACAUGAUGACAUUCUGUCUUUCUAUGCUAAUUUGUUUAAUUGUCAGUUUACCAUGAAAUACUUGGGGGUCCUGAGUUACUCCACUCUUAGGAGUUUGCAUUGGGGCUUUGUGGAAGAUAAAUUCUUGAAACAUUGUGAAUCCUGGAUUGGUAAUGUGACUUCCUCGGGGGUCCCUUUGUAGCAUUCUUUACAAUUAUAUGUCUAUGCUCUUGCUCCCCAAAACUUUCAUUGAUAAAUUGGACAAGCAUAUACACCACUUCUUUUGGCUAGGAGAGACGGGUAGAAAAGGAUAUCACCUUGUGAGAUGGGAUUGUGUGUGUCGAUCUAAAUCUAAGGGUGGCCUUGGGGUGAAAGACACAAAAAGGGGAGAGAGCCUAUGUAUCAAUGAAUAGAUACAAUCAAUGGUAUUAGGACGGCGCUGCCUACGCGCAAAUUAGCUUCCGAGGUCGAGCAGUCUUGAUUUCACUAUAGGAUUUGUGAAUGAAUGCUAGGCUGUGCUGAAGGAAAUAUGCCCUAGAGGUAAUAAUAAAGUUGUUAUUUAUAUUUCCUUAUAUCAUGAUACAUGUUUAUUAUUCAUGCAAGAAUUGUAUUAACCGGAAACUUGAUACAUGUGUGAAUACAUAGACAAAACACAGUGUCCCUAGUAAGCCUCUACUAGACUAGACAUGAGUUGUCAUUUGAUGAACGGGACCACAUCAUUAGGAGAAUGAUGUGAUGGACAAGACCCAUCCAUUAGCUUAGCAUAAUGAUCGUUAAGUUUUAUUGCUAUUGCUUUCUUCAUGACUUAUACAUAUUCCUUUGACUAUGAGAUUAUGCAACUCCGGAAUACCGGAGGAAUACCUUGUGUGCUAUCAAACAUCGCAACAUAACUGGGUGAUUAUAAAGAUGCUCUACAGGUAUCUCCGAAGGUGCUUGUUGGGUUGGCAUAGAUCGAAAUUAGGAUUUGUUACUCCGAGUAUCGGAGAGGUAUCUCUGGGCCCUCUCGGUAAUGCACAUCAUGAAAAGCAUUGCAAGCAAUGUGACUAAUGAGUUAGUUGCGGGAUGAUGCAUUACUGAAUGAGUAAAGAGACUUGGCGGUAACGAGAUUGAACUAGGUAUGAAGAUACCGACGAUCGAAUCUCGGGCAAGUAACAUACCGAUGACAAAGGGAAUGACGUGUGUUGUCAUUACGGUUAAACCGAUAAAGAUCUUCGUAGAAUAUGUAGGUUCCGCUAUUGGUUAUUGACCGGAGAAGAGUCUCGGUCAUGUCUACAUAGUUCUCGAACCCGUAGGGUCCGCACGCUUAAUGUUCGAUGACGAUUUGUAUUAUGAGUUAUGUGAUUUGGUGACUGAAUGUUGUUCGGAGUCCCGGAUGAGAUCACGGACAUGACAAGGAGUCUCUAAAUGGUCGAGAGGUAAAGAUUGAUAUAUUGGAUGAUAGUAUUCGGACACCAGAAGUGUUUCAGAAUGUAUCGGGUACAUAUCGGAGUACCUGGGGGGGGGGGGUACCGGAACCCCCCGGGGGAAGAUAUGGGCCAUAGGAGGGAGGCAAACCAGCCCACAUAGGGGUGGCGCGCAGCCCCCCCCGAAGGGAGGAGUCCAAAUUGGACUACGGGAGGGGGCGACGCCCCCCUUUCCUUCUCCCUCUAUCUCCUUCCCCAUUUCCCCCCUCCGAUAAAAGGAAGGGGGGCCGAAUCCUACUAGGAGCCCAAGUGGGACUCCUCCCACUUGGGGCGCGCCUAGGGCCGGCCUCCUCCCCUCUCCCUCCUUUAUAUACGGGGGUGGGGGCGCCUCUAACACGCAUCAAUUGUUCCAAGCCGUGUGCGGCGCCCCCUCCAUACACUAAAAAAAAAAAAUACACUUCCGUGAUGAUACGUGUUUGUCACAGUAGGUCGCGUUUUUUGUCAUGCAUGUACAUCCAUGACAAUUUUAUGACAGAAUCAAGAUAGUCAUACCUAUGCUGUCCUAGAAGUGUUCCAUGACAUUACCAAAAUUAUCAUCACGGAAGUGUCCACUUCCAUGACGAUAAAUCACGCGUCACAUAAGUGCUUUCGUCAAGGGUGACCGACACGUGGCAUCCACCGUAACGGAACGCCGUUAAGCUAUCAGGUCCGGUUUUGGAUCCGAUAACCCGCUAACAGCCCCGACCAAUGGGGAUUUUCCACGUGUAAAAUCAUCAUUGGCUGGAGGAAACACGUGUCGGCUCACCGUUGGGACAGAUGUCAUCCACUCAUUGGACCGAAGACGCCUAUGAUACGUCAACACGUGGCACGGCCGAACAGAGGCCCAUUCCUGUGAAAAGGCCGGACCGUUUGACUUGGUCAAAAGGUGGCCGGCCGGCCCACGGAAAGCCUGUUAACGGCCUGUUCGCUUAUAGCCCAUUUACAGCCCGGUAACCCAGGGCCUGUUACGACCUAUCCGAAUUAGGCCCAGUAGCGUCAUCUAGGCCGUCCAAUAUGAUUCCAGCCCGUUUUAAGUUCUGGCCCAUGUAUGGCCCAUGACGUCUUUCGGCCCAUACGAGGCCCUUUGUAACUCUUGGCCCAUUAACGGCCCGUGGUGAAACUGGCCCGUAAUCAACAGUGUACCACUUUAUACCCAUUAACGGCCCAUUAAUCCAUUGGGCCGUUUGCAGCCCAUGUUAUCUUUCGGCCUUCUCAGGGCCCAUUUAUUAUUGGGCUCAUUUCCAGCAUUCGGUUACUUACGGCCCGUUACUGCCAUUUUCUGCUUGUGGGCCAAAUUCAGCCCGUGGUUACAGUCGGCCCGUUUAUGGCCCGUUAAUACGUUGGGCCGUUUUCAUAGCGUCAUCAAAUAUGGCCUAUUAAUGACGGCCCGUUAUGGUCGGCCCAUGAACGGACGACUCCACUCUAGCCCGUUUACGGCGAUAAUGCGGUUUGUUUUGGCCCAUGUUUGGCCAAUCGAUCAUACGGCCCGUCUAAGGCCCAUUGAUGAUACAGCCUGUAGAAGGCCCAUUGUUUCUAUGGACCGUAGAAGGCCCAUUGUUUCUACGGCCCGUAGGAAGCCCAGUGUCACUACAGUAAAUAUGUAGCCCAUGGCCUGUUAAAGGCGGGAAACUACUAUAGGUUUAGACCUGCUAAUGGCCCAAGAUGAUUAUAGGCCCACGUUUUGGCCCAUAUGAGUAAUGGGCCGGCCUGAAGAUCGACAACACUGAGAUCCACUGAACCUUCCGGCCUAAAUUAUAGCAUACCGACCAAAGAAUAAACCUAGACUAUAUAAUAAAGAAAUUACGGCAUUUUACAUCCACUGGGAAUCAAAGUUCGCUACCGGUGAUAAUAAAGCACAACAUGACCGCGGAUUACAUACACUUGGCAUCAAAGGUCGCCACCAGUGCAUAUAAACGCGCCGACAAAAGAUAUACAAAACUGAGAGCACUUCAGAAGGCACUAGACCUGGCAAGCUCGGGCCCCGCAGGCAGCCGAACAAGCUGAUGAGACCUCAGUUGUGUCAACGAUAGAUGCUUCAUCCCUAGCUGUAUGGCACCAUAGUGCGCAAGGCAGUCCCCUGACAUCUUCAUUACAUCUUCGACUUCAAGUCGGAGCUGAGCUGAAGCAAGCCUUUCCGCUUUAAGUUGAGACUGAAGAAGUCGAACUGAUUGAGGCAGCGACUGCACAGAGGUUGUCUCACACCUGCUGGUGAGUAGCUUCAACUCACUGUCUUCAUCAAGACAGGACCUUGGGGUCAUCUCGCUGUCCUCAAGAUGGUUUGGCUCACUAUCUUUCCUAAAUUUCUGCCUGGCAUAAGAGAUACGACUCUGAAAGAGAAACAAGGAGACAUGUAACAGGUUUCACAAUUAUAUAAGCAAAUAAAUGGAUCUGUUCUCCAUAAGGAACAUGUUUUUACAACUACAAUUUAAAACUGGUAGUUGUUGCAAACAUCCAAUCAGAUGUAAACAACAGUGCAGGAAAUGAUGCCUAUCCAAAUCUAUACUAGAACAAAGUUUGAAGGCUUGAGAAGGAUGAACUUACAUUACAUGUUAACACGGGCUGGACAAAGCCCUUCUCCAUGUUGAUGGAAAGAUAAUUCAAUAAAUUCCUCAAAGAAAAUUCUUUAUAAGCGUUGCCAUUAUUCUACAUUUUGCAAAGAGUAAAUAUAGAUCAAAUAAUAUUGGAAGAAAUAGAGUAUAAUGAAGCUCAGGUGCAGACUGAUGAUACAUAAUCAAAUAGCAAUUAAUUAAGUACAACGUUACAAGGCAAAAGGUACUAACAAGAGGAAUGCAGACAUCAACGUGUGCAGUGGCAUUGGCUUUAUUCAACAUUUUGGUAAGAGUAAAUGUAGAUAUGAUAAUUUGGAGAAAGUGGAGGGCAGGGCAGAUAAGAUGCAGAGUAAUGCUAGACAAUCAACUAUCUCGCGAUGCAUGUACAGUAAUACCACCACCGUCCGUUAUUAGUUGUCGCUCAAAUGGAUGUAUCUAGCACUAUUAAGUUCUAAAUACAUCCAACUGAUCAACAAUUAAUUCGAUACAGAGGGAGUACAUGACAACAGGUACUUACAUGAGCAAUUCAAAACUUCAUAACCAUUGUGUUAAUUCUACAUUUAUCUAAGAGUAAAUAUAGAUCUUAUAAUUUCAAGCAAAGGGAGGAUAAAGAAGCGAACAUUUACAGUGAUGCUACAUAAUCAAACAACAAUGAGUGUAAGUAUGCUGACAAAGGGCAAGAGGUACUGACAAGAGCAAUGCAGAGCCCAGUAUUGUUGUGAGAUCCUAUGAUCCUUUGAGCAAGGAGAUUCAUCUGAAAUUAGUUUUCAUACAAGAGAGAAGGUAAGGCACAUGCAGCAAUUUAGGAGUUCAAAUUUUGAAUUGAUAUCAUAGACAGUACCUGACGCUGGGCUGUCAGCAGUUCUAAUAGGGGUUUGGCCACUGGAGUAGGGGUAAAGUCUGUUAUAGUUGGGCCUGUGUUUUCUGUGGUUGCUGAUCUAUCUGAUUUAACAGGUAUCACUACCUUUUUCGAAUACCUAGUUUGUACUCCUUGAGGAUCUGCAAUCACCCUCUUCCUUUUGGACAUCUAUUACGAAAGAACAACAUUUGACUGGAAAAACAUAGUAUGACGACACAUGGAAUAGGUACAGAAAAUGGAUAAGUAUGGCAUAUACUCAUAUAUGAUGCUUAAACUAAUCAGAUGGUGUAACAAAGUAGAAGUAAUGCAAGAGGUCAGAUGCAAAAUAUGUGCGACCAAUACAACCUUGCCAAGUUAGAGCAUGCACCUUGAUGGGUGAAUAAGAUAGGCCAUCCUCCACCAUGCCAAGUUUGUUAGCCAAUGGAUUGUUCCGCAAUAUUCAUCUCGUGCGCCCAUUCUCAUAUUCAUUUUGAUAAUGUUCAAUACCUGACAUGCAUGAAAACAUAAAAACAAGUGAGAUUAUCUUUGUAAUGCAGAAGUGAUUCUAAUCCAAUACUUCCUCCCUGUAAACCCCUUUGUGCUAUCUCUGCAAUUAUUCUAAGAGGUGCCAUGCAUGCUAUAAUUUGGUGUGUGCAUUAAUAUAAUGUGGCCUACUACUCAAAAUAUGAGAGCUCCAGAAGUGAUGAUACUUCGCAGAUGACAACUUCAACAUAUAGUAAAGAAGAACAAGUCGACAUGACCUGACAGAUUCAAAAUAUACUAAGGGAGAAUAACUCGACCUGACCAGUCGACCGCAAGAGAAGAGGAUCAUCUUAAAGAAGAGCAGAAGAGCAAGCAGAUUGAAGAUAUUACAAGUCUUUCUAUACAAUGUCGGUUGGCCACCCAUGAUGAACCAGAGUGCACAGAGAAAUACUAUUCCUUCCGGGCUCUCCAUAUGUGGCUCACAUGCAUUUCAAAACUAAAGUAGGAACAUUUAGCUGACCAAUUAAACAUCUCUUAGUUUUACUAAUAUCAGCAUAAUAUCAGAUUUGAAUUUGUACAACUAAGCUUGUUUAGCUCGAUGGGUGGAGCAGUGCUAUUACGACACGAACCACGUAGGCUGAUCGUGGUCAUCAUAAAAUGGGGAAACCGUAAGCAUGAUGAGUAUAGUGUUGACCGUGGCAGUGGGAUGGCAGAUCUGAAGAUGCAAACCGCGCAAAGGGUAGUUAGCAACCGAUAUUUGCUUUGAAAUAACAACUAAGAUUUGGUAUGGAAAAGAAAGUACAGUCAACAAGUGACAAAGAAAUGCAAUUCUACUGUCUCUCUAUAUGUCGCGACAUGCAUUUGGAAACUCAAGUGGGAACUUUAGCUAACCAAUUAAAUGUGUCUGUUAACUAAUAUCAGUAUCAUAUCACAAUCAUAUUUGAACAACUAAGCUUUGGAAUUUUGAGUGUUGUGUUGUUUAGCUUGAAGGGUGGAGUAAUGCUAGUAUGACAGAAAGCACCUACGCAGAUCAUAGUAGAGUAGAUAAAAGGGGAAAACCCUAAGCAUCAAUAGUAAAAUCAGGAAAGUGGAACUAGCUGGACCAGUGGGUGGCGCACAUACUUUUCGAAACGAAUAUAGGAACAUUAGGUGACCAAUUAAACGUUCUCUGUUUUAGUAAUAUGAGCAUCAUAUCAGAUUCGUAUUUCAACACGUAAGCUUUGGAAUUAUGAGUGGCAUGUUGUUUCGCUUGAUGGGUUGAGGUCUUGAGGAGCAGUGCUAGCACGACAUGAAGCAGUGAAGCACCUACGAUGAUGGUAGUGAAUAUAAAGGGGGGAAACGAUAAGCUUUACGAGUAUAGUGACCGUGACAUGGCGGAUCUGAAGGUGCAAACCGGACAAAGCUACUUCGCAACCAAUGUUUGCAUUCAACUAGCCACUAUGAUUUGGUAUGGACAAGAAAAGUACAGUAAACAAUUUAAGAUCUAUUUUUCGGGUGAGAUCAAUAACUUAAGCACAUAUGGAAGAGUACCACCUCUCUUGCGAUGCCGUGUAGGCCCCUGCUGAUACGUUGAGGGUGCUACGGGUGCGAUGGCUGUCGGCGGCGGGGAAGAAGACUUUAGAUGGCAGACGGCCGGGUCGGGGGAUAAAUCCUGUUGCCAUGGACGAGGCGGUCGUAGGAGUGGCAACGGCAAAGUGGACAACGGCGCCGAUGAAGCGAGAUGACGCGAUGAAAGGAUCCUGGUCCGGCGCCGUGGAUGAGAGACGUCCAUCUCUUGAAGUGGACGACGGGGUAGGGGUAGCGGCUCCGGCAAGGUGGAGGAUGGGGUGGCGGACGGAGGAGGCUAGCCGCAGUGGGGAGGUUGUCGUGGCGCCGACGGUGUAUGAAUGGGGAAAUGGAGGGGGAGGGGGGAUCUCAAACUUUGGGACGCGCUUGUCUGAAAUGUGGGAAAGUUACGAACUUAUCCCCCGUUUAAAAUUUUGGACAUCACGUCGGUUGGGGAUAGGACGGUAAUCUCACAUCUCCCAAAUAUUUGCCGGUAACGAUUUCGGGCGAGGAGAGGGUGUUUUGCCGCCCACAGUUGGCGCCCAUGGUGUAUGAACGGGGCUGAAAGGUAGGGCGGUUGUUUCACGUCUGAGGGAAGUUACACAUUUGCCCCUAUUUAAAAUAUUAGCCUACAUCGAUUUCGGACGAGGAGAGUUUGUUUUGCCGCCCACCGUGGAUGAAUGGGGAAAUGGAGGGAGAGACACAUGUCUUUCGGACGAGCUUGAAUCAAAUGUGUUUUGCCGCCCACGUUUGGCGCCCACCGUGUCUGAAUGGGCUCAGAGUCCGUCGUGUCACGUCUGAUUGAAGUUACUAGUCUACCCCUAUCGACAGCAGUGUAAAUCCGGUCGAUAAGGAUGUCAAGUGUCAGGGGUAGACAGUAAUUUCCAUCUCGCAAACACUUGCUUUGGGCAGCCCACAAAUGAUAGUGGGUGUUUAGCCGCUUCAUUCAAAACUUGGGAGAAUUAGCAUUCACGUUUGCCCUGGGCCCUGGCAACUAAAUCCAAAUCCAAUUUUUAUUCGAUUACAAAUAUCCACAGAUAAUUCUAUGUUUUGUUAUUUAUUUCUUCAAAACCACAACAAAGAUUUAUUCCACCUUUAUAUAUGAUUACGAUUUAGAAAUGCCGUGAUCUUCGAAUUCAGUAGGUUGGAUACACUUUGAGUCAAAUAGUUAUUUCAUCCAAUACAAUAUGCUCACAUGAAAAGCAGUUCACCUUAUGUCAAUCAUACAAGUACUGAGGAUUACCUUGCCUAAAAAAUUCUGAUCAUUACAACACAUGGACAACAUAGGGGGUCUUACAACAUAAUCCAUUCAGAGACAUGACACAACAUGCAAGUACAAUAAUCUAAUGACAAUUUCAACUGCUAUCUAAAGAAGAACUGGGAUUACCCUGGGCUUCAGAUAGCAGAAGCAGCAGGACCUCCUCCGUCUUCAAAUGCAACAUUCUUACUUCCUCCAAUUCUUGGGUUUCUUGCAUAAUGCGUGCAGCUAAUUGCAUAAUUUCCAGCUUCAAGAUCGAGAUUACCUAAUUCAUGGCAGCCACACCAUCUCUUUCUGCCUCUAGUAGAGCCUCAAGAACUAUAAUAUCUAUGCUCAGACUGCUCUCCGGCGGUGUUGCCUCUGAACUGCUACCAUCUGGUAACAUGGAUGGCGCACUGGUUCCACAAAUAGAUUCUGGGGUUGUACAUUGUGUCCUAGUGUGAACGGCAUCCUGAAAGGUUUCCGCUGGACAUAAGUAAGAGAUAGUUAUCGCAUGAUCCAGGCAGUAAGCUUACAUGGUAAACGACAUACGAAUUAUUGCCGAGCAUGGCAAGUUAUAUUUAAAUGGUUCGAAGCAGCAUCAGCCGAAAAGAAAUUAAAAUGGUAAGAUGAAACUAGGGAUGUAAGUGGCAAAUAAACGACAUCCGCCAGUCCCAUCUAGUUAGUUUUUGCUACCUCCCUGGUUCAUUUUCCUCAAAAAACAAAAACUCUUUUGAACUCUCAUACCACUAGUGGACUUUAAUCGGGAUUAAGCGGGACCCAGUUGACAUCCCUAGUUGAAAGGGAGUGUACCACCACUAUAUUUAAGUUGCCAAGGCAUCUAAGCAGUUGAAAUAAUCUGAGAAAGCACUUAACAGUGUGGCCUCAUAUAAACUACGAAGACAGUCUUGUGAUGAAGUUCAGAGGAAAAGUUAAGGACUCAAAUGAACUAGGCAUGCAUUUCUUUACGAUAGUACAGCAGGCACUGCUGACAUAUUGGCUAACUCAGGUAUAGCGUAACAAGUAACAAACAAGCAUUCGAAUCAAGCAAUACAGCAAAGCAGACAACUGAACUAUUUGUUAUUCUGUAGGAUUACAGGUUGAGGGCACAAGCCAAGAAAGCAGCCCACACGCAUUACAUUUCACAUGUACUAAAACACACUGGCUUACCAUAUGUUGCUGUGAAGCCUCGCUGCUGUUCCAAUGUUCUUUGAAGAUAUCGUCAGCAUCCCGUGGUUGCAAAUCUACUUGUUGUAGUUUAUUCUGCACCCUCUAUUUAGGUAAAAUUAAUUUUAAUCGCAUGCACUGGUUCGAAUUGAUCAUCAAUGGUUCAUCUAAACUAAUGAAAGAAGGGUGUGUGCAUACACGACAAUAUAUCUGCUUCCCUCUAUUUUUAUGCUUGUUCGAGGUGCCAGCCCCAAAACAACAAAUAUUUUGCUUGAUGGGGUUGGCAGCUCCAUAAUUAAUAGAAGCAUAAAAUUAGUCAUGCAACUUGGGAAGAUCAAGAACACACAAAAAAGUAAUGAACAGAGGCUCGUAGCAGUGAUGUAAUAGCUAGCAUCAGAAAAUGUAUGGUAAAACGAACAAAAACCAGCGGAACCACAUGCUAGUUUGCUGAUGUGUAAUUAAGCAUAGAGAACAUGAAGCAGUCUGAUGGAACCAACAUGUGGCAUCAGAACAACACCAUUAUCAUAAAUAUAGCAUGCAAGAAGUAAAAUAGUAGGCAGCGAUAUCUAGGAAGUACAGUAAUACUUAGGACAAAACUAAAGCAUAUUAACUAUAUGUGCACUGGUAUGUAAUUUAGCACAUGUAACAUGUUCACUGCCAAAAGUAUGGCCCUACAGGUGCAAGAAGAAUAACGCGUCUCAUGAAAAACUAAAUGAUGCCCUGAAGAAAUUCAAAGGUGCGGUGCUUAUUCUAAGAAAGUGAACGUAGGCGCCGGCCGUUGGAUAAUAGUACCUAAUUCUCGGCGGCGUAUGGGUAUCGUUGGCAUACUUGAUAGCUAAGGAUCGUCGAUGGUGCUCGUGUUGCGGUUGAGUUUGGGCCGACUGUCUCCGUCGCUGAAGCGGCUCUAGUGCUACGGUUGCGGCGCCUGUCGACAUACAAGAAAGCUCAUCUAUGGUAAGUGAACAGUUGCACGAUAAAGAGAAAAUCCGAAGGAGUACAGAUCGAAAUAACCUGAUGAGGCCGUGGUGUCGGUAAAGCAGGGCCGGUGGAGUUGAAUAUGGCGUCCGUGGAGCGGGUCCGGUGCAGUGGACGAAGGCUUCGGCGGGCGCGUUGUACAGUGCUUUCGGUGAGGCGGAUCUAUUGCGGCGGACGAGGGCUUGUAUGAAGGGCCAGCGAAGGGACGGACGAGGGAGUCAGUGAAGGGCCUACACUGUGGUGGACGAGGGCGCCGGUUAAGCAGAUCCGGUGGGGUGGACCAUGAUGGCGGUCAAGGAGAUCUGGAGCGGUGUACAAGCUAGUCGCUGAAGCGGCUCCGGUGAAGUGGUGAGUUGGCAGUUNNNNNNNNNNNNNNNNNNNNNNNNNNNNNNNNNNNNNNNNNNNNNNNNNNNNNNNNNNNNNNNNNNNNNNNNNNNNNNNNNNNNNNNNNNNNNNNNNNNNNNNNNNNNNNNNNNNNNNNNNNNNNNNNNNNNNNNNGAGGGGAAAACAAUGGAGUUACCAAAGCAGCCCUUUUCCGUUCAUGUGGCAGGGGUAAAACAGGAAUAUCGCAGGUCUAAACUUUUGGGCGCGAGAUAUUUUGAUGUGAGUGGGAAGUUUGAAAGCUUUUGGCACCUGAAAUUAUAUUCUGCUCUUGUACGACCGACUAUGAUAUCAUGGCCGAGAAUUUGUUUGUUUUGCACGCAAAAAAAAGUGCAAGUUUUGAAAAUCAAUGUCUCCAACUCGAAACUUAGAUUUUCUAUUCAAUUCAAAUAUGGAUCAUUGAGCUACUACAAGCAAAUACCAUCAUAUGGUCCAAUUCAAAUGAAAUUCCAAAUGUGUUUAUCCUAAAUAUGAUGACAAAAGCAAAAAUGUGUAUGUGUAUGAAUAAAGUGGAUGAUUAUAAAGUUUGAACAUGCCCGUAUGUGUAUAUCUCUAGGUUUGAUAUAUGAUUUGAAAUCACGAAAUCCCGGCUUAAAAAUGUACCUCCGUUUAAAUGAAUUACAAAAGCUAAUGAUGGAGUCGAAUUCCAAAAUUCCAAUCUAAGAUUUGUAAUUCUGGUACAUCAAAGUAUAUCACGCAUGUUCAAAAGUAUCGUUAUCUCAUAGUCCAAACUGUGAAACAAAUUGAUCAACCUUGAGUGCACACACUAUUGACCAUGUAUAUCUCAAUUACGCUAAAGUCCCUCAAAUAUAGACACCUCACUCUUUAUCUGACGCCAACCCCCCCCCUCGUCGCCCACCCCCACCCCUCGUCGCCCACCCCCCCACACACAGAAGUCGUUCUCUCCCCCAAACACCAACACACGAGCACAUUAACACCCAUCUCUUCUAAAGUCUGGACCCCAAUAUAGGUCUCUAUCACUUUGUCUCUUGGGCAUGCACACAUCUCUUCCCCCACUCUCUAGCUAGGUCUCCCGGCAUCUCUCUUUCCCAGGCACACACAUUAUGUAGAGUGUAUCUUUCCCAUACACACAAAACGUCGCCCCAAACAUCUAUCUCCCUAGUUAUGUGGUUCUCGCACACUCACCUCACACACCACCCCCACUGCAAAACAAGCACACUUUGUCUCCUUGUGCACCGCUCUCCUCUUUCUAUCUCUCCCACAUGCGGACCCGCCCCAGCUCCUCUCUGUAUACAUUUAUGUCGUGACUCUUUCCAUAGCUCCCUAAUGUAUCAUCGUUCUCGAUCUCACACAUUGUUCUCUACACCAUCUAUUCUAGAUCUCUCAUGUAAGUCCCUAUCACACACAUGAUGACUCGCUUCCCUUGCGUCUCCGUACAUAGGCCAAUUUCAAACAAUAUCAACAUUGUCUCCCUAUCUAUAAGCCAUUUAUGGACACAAACGCCCCCUCUCUUCCUCUCUCUCUCUCCGUCGCUAGCUCUCUCUCUCUCUCUCUCUCUCUCUCUCUCUCUCUCUCGCUCUCACACCCCUCUCCCACACACAAUCGAUGUCUCUUCCAAAUAGUCUGCCCCCCCGCCCGCACCCAUGCUAUCCCGCUACUACACAUGUCACACCAUUCCCCCUUCCCUUAUACUAGGUUUACAUCGUUAGUGGUCUCUCUACUCCACAUGCACACACUCCCUCUCACACACAAACGCGCGCACAAACACACACAGACACACACAAACACCCAUUAAUAUGGAUCCUCAUCUCUCCCCAUGUCCGCAUGUGUAUCUCACACACUCACUCUCUAAUUAUGUAUAUGUGUCUCCACGUUACACAACACAAAGCCCCAUGUACAUGUCUCUCUCUAUCCUCCACACACAUAGACACAAAGAAUCUGUUAUCAUUGCCUCAGUCUCUAGACAUAUCACACACGGACACUGUCUCUCUCUCUCUCUCUCUCGCAAACACGCUCAACAAGGGUUUCCCCGUGAAUAACUUACCGUCUAUUCAUCAACAGUCGUGGCAGUACGGUGAACACGAGACGUGAAAAAGAAUAAAUCUACACGUGCUUAGACCACCUAGUAUGACUACUAGGACUAUAGCAAGCCAAAAAGCGCGCCGCUGUCACCCCCUCCUUAUCGACGACGGGAAAACCUUUGUUUUACACAAUUGAGAAGUCAUUGUGCUAAGGCCUCACAUGCUGAGGCGUUGAAUAGAAUGUAGAUGCUAGUUUACAGAAACAAGUAUAGAUAAUACGUUUGUAUCUCCAUACUUAUAUUUCUUCUCUUAUAAAAAACCGAGUUGGUGAUGAUGGUACGCGUGCCAUCUUGCAAUAUAGACCGUCCGAUCUAUAUCUGACUGAUGGAAAUUAAACUAAAAGAUACCCGCACCCCUCUCCACAUUUGCAGACAAGGCCUUCCCUCGUUCAUCCGUAUCUCCAACAACCUCAUUGUUGAGAAAUUAAGAAAGGAAGCCUCUGGAACAAACUGGCCUGGUGGCCGCUGCCGGCGUCGUCAAUCCCCAUGCCUCCGCUCAGUCCGACCACCAAUCACCACCACGCCCCACUCCUCUUCACCUUAUCUCCUAUUUCUCGAGAUAUCAUUAGUUUUUACACAUGGGAUUACUCCCGCAUGGGUCAAUCACAACGAGUGUUUUUAUAAAAAAAUGCAUCUUGAUGUUCCGUGCAAUGCACAGAUCUUGCUAGUACUCCUACAGAAGACUAAGUUGGUGAUGAUGGUGUGUCUGCCAUCCGUCGUUUGUGACCAUUAGAUCUACAUCUAACGACUGUGAGGUAAGUUGUUGCCUUUUCUCACAAACAUCCCACUUGUCUACCAAUUUGCAAAAAAAUCCAUAAUUAGUAUCUUAAAACCAACCACAUCCCUCCCUGACCUCACCAAAACAGCCCAAGGAAUAUAUUCUAAUUGAAACAUAAUAUAUCUCUAGUGAUAUAUGUAUAUCAAAAUUAGAGUGUUUUGUAUCAAGUUUGUGAAUAAGUAUUAUUCUAAUUAUGAUUCGUUGCAACGCACAUGAACAUUGCUAGUAUUUCCAACCAUGCAAUUUUUCCCCUAGUAUUCCAUAGUUUCGAGUUUUCCAUCAUGAUAUUAGUCACUCAUGGUUGAUAUUUACUUUCAAUCAUGUACACAUAUGCACUAUGUAACUAGCCUUGCUUAUUGGGUUCCAAAGCUUAACUUUCACUUCUACUUACAAUAUGUAGAGUAUUUAACAAAAAACUACCACUUUCAACCAGCCCUAGGAAGAAUCUAUUGUACAAAAAAUAGCAAAAACAUACCCAAAAUUUCUUAAUCCACGCCAAAAACUACUACCUACCGAUUAGGUUAGUUUAAACCCAUUUAUGACAGGGUUGGCCCACACGUCCGUGCUGACAAGUCAGCUUAAACCAACACAUUUUGUUUGAUCGUUGACACGAGGGACCCACAUCUGACCUUCUAUCUUGUUAUUCCCCCUCAAAUCAUUAUUUUUCCUGAACAUUACUUCAAACAAUACUGAUGCGUGUUCGUCGGUGGCGCCGAUGAUGAGCGAGUUGGCCGCCGCUCCGCCGGACGGGCCGGACGCCGCGCUGGCCUCCGCACGGAUUGGCAGGCUGGCCCGAGCGUGACUCACGAGCGAGGAAGUCACCGUGCGGGCCUUCGCUCGAGCCAGAUGGCUGGCCUUAGCGCGGCGCGCGCGAGCAAGCCGCCGCGCCGCCGUGCCAAUCUAGCUAGCGAACCUUGCAGACAAGCAGCUGGACGAAGCUAUCUUGGCUAGCUAGCGGCCGCGAGCGCCGGACGGAGCUGGCAUCCGGGCUGCCGCAAGAUGGGCUCCGCAUCACUGGCGGUUUUGACCUCGCCUUCUGCCGACGGUGGUAGCUACGUCCCAUGGCCGAGGAUGACUAGGUGGACGGGCCGGAGGUAGGAGGUCAGUCGGGGAUUUUUGUGCAGACUGACAUGUAGGUCCCACAAGUCACAACGCCCGAUUGAAUAGAAGGCGUUGACUUAAUGGGCGACAUGGGCCCUGUUUGGAUACUCUAAGUCAGAGGUUAGAUUCUAACCCUGAACUAACUCUAACCAAAGUGGUGUUUGGAUGGCAGGGUUAGAUUGACAACAAAUGUAUCCAAACAGGGCCAUGGGUUGAAACGUGCCUAUAACGACACUUUGUAGAGUAGUCGUUUCUUGGUAGGGCUGGUUGGUAAGAGCAUGUACAAUGGUUGAUAAGGUAGUCUUAUCUUAAGUCUGCCACGUAUGCAAGUGGUAGUAGUUUCUUGGCAUUAUUAGUGGUUUCUUGCAUUAUUAGGGGUUUCUUGUAAGGAAUAAUGUACUACUAGAGACAAAAGGCGAUUCUAGGUUGCGUUGUACUCCAACGAGUACUACUAGUGGUCGCGGGAGUGUAUACCUCGUUUUGUGGGUUCGAUCCCGGCCGAACGCAUGGCGGCCUUUUUUUAAAAUAGUAACUUUGCUGCGAGCCAAUAUUUUACACGGGUAGUUUGAGUUUUGAAGUCAAACGGACGUGCGGCACCACAAUCUGGGUGCACUGGAUAGCCUAGCCACGUGAACGGGUUUUCCUUCCUAGCAUCUCGUGGCUCGCGUGCUCGCCCUAGCCGCACCUCGCUUGCAGCUUCCUCAUCAGCUAGUAGCAUAUUUAAACUAGCGCCUCCCAAUUAAGCCCGAGGAGCCGGAAAAGCCUGGCGGGGCAUUGGGAACUGUGCAAUAUGGCUUUGUACGUAAAGUGCUCUACUACUACUCUGUAGCUUGUGGCAUUGCACGCAUGGACUUCACUCCAUUAUCGGCUCUACUAUAAAAGAAAUUCCUCUUGACGUGUUUUUUGAAACGGAGGCAAAAGCUUUGCUUCAUCUCAUUCAUAAAGAAGGAACUACUAACAAAGUUCGACGAGAUCCAUUACACCUCCACAAAUGGAAGCGAAAAGCCUAGUCUUGCUGUAUCAAAUAACUCAAAUGUUCUGCCCCCGCACUAACCGUCGCGGAUAAACAGGCUGCUAGUGUGUGCGUGAGAGGAGAGGCUGAGUAGGCCAGCUACGUGAGAGGAGCGGUUGAAUAGAGCACCGAGAGUACCCACUAGGACACUACGCAGGUGUACUUUCCCUGCAUUGAUAGUACAGCGAUGGUUCAAGAGAACAGUAGUACCCUCCACUUCCAACUGCAGCUCCUUGGCCGUGAGAUUCAAGAGUUCAAAACUGGUGCACUAUACUAGAAGUACAGUACAUCGCACUACUAGUUGAGAAAGUAGUACUAGUAUUGCUACAGUACGAGUACGUACUCCUCCAUCACAUAAUGUAAGAUGUUUUUUGACACUAGUUGGCGUGUACAAAAAUAGCAAAAACAUACCCAAAAUUUCUUAAUCCACGCCAAAAACUACUAGCUAGUGCCAAAAAUUUCUUACUAGUGCUAUUAUUUACAGUAUAAUGCAAUCCCAUAACGUCCCAUAAUGCUAGUACUAGUAGUAAAUAAUAGCCUCACCCCUUCCCUAAGGAACGAUCUACAGUUGGAAGGGACGAGGCCCUGCGGUUACUACGCUCUUAUCUCCUCCUUGCCAGUGCCCCUCCCCCCGAAGAGAAGGUAGUUCGUCGCUGCUCCCAUGGAUUCGCCAGACGGUUCUCCUCCUUGUCGGGGCUGGGAGACCUUGGACGACGAUCCUCUGGGAGAAAUCGCACGCCGCUCCGACGUCCUCACCGCCGCAAGACUCGGUGCUUCCUGCACCAACUUUUUCAAGACGGUGCUUAAAAUGGCUUGGGAAAAGGCCAUGCUUGUUGGUCUUCCAUGCGUCCUCGAGGAUAAGGUUCUUCUAUGGGACAAUCCUUCGAACAGUCCACCACUCCCUGGCCAUGGUUGCACAUUGACUCCACUAGAGUUGUCGACGUUGAGAGGUAGUCGGAUUUUGUCCGAUGAGCAGGUCAGUAAUGGAUUUUGAUCAUGUAGUACUUAGUUAUUCCAUUUCCAUCCCGUAAUUUCUCCGCUGCCCACCGUCUUAUAUAUAGGUCUGCGUCGGUGCCAACAAAGAUUGGCUUGCAUACCUCCGGCCGGAUACCACCAUCAUUUUGCACAACAUCCACAGCAGUGCGGCUGUUCCGGUAGACCCCUUCUCCACCAUUGGGAUCGGCCUUCCGGACUGGCUGGGCUUGAAUACGUAUGAUGAUGCCUACAUGAGAUUGAAGAAGAUAGCAAUUGCGGACCCGCCGACAAAGCGACGCCGCUACGACGAUAACUAUCUCAUCGUGGUGUUCGACAUAAGGAUUGCCAUCAAUGCAAGAGGCAGUAAUGACAGAGGCUGGCGCAUGUUGGCGGCGGCAGAUUUGUACCCCUACACGUUCGAAGACGCCGUGCGCCAUCUAGGCCACAUCUUCGCGGUGACAAGCCAGGGGACUUGUUUCAUCUGGUUGCCAUCCUACGGUACGGGAGAUUAGAAACGGAAUGCACAAACCAUCAUUUGCAUCCCUAACGGUACUCCAUUAUUUUGCAGGGACCAGUCAUCCCGCGAUCAAUAUAAGAUCAUCGAUCCUGGAUGUGCAUUUGCAUCCGUGAUUCGGUCUAACCUGGAACCUUGUAGCUGACUUUGGCAUAUUGGGAUCAACUAUCUUAGCAGUCGUUACCCAUGGUACAACUGAUGUGCAACAUGGUCACACAAUCUACCACGAUCGGACUGUCACCAUCUACCCAGGUAUUCCAUUUUUUAACCCUCUCGCCUUCUCUUUCAUUGUUGUACUAGUACUCUACUUACGUACUAGUAGGAGUACUUUUUAUCUUGGAGGACGCGUAUAGCUAGCUAGGCCCUUGAAGACUUGAACCCACUAGCUGCCACCAUUUUUGUUUUUCCAUGUCUUACUAUCUCAUCCAUGUAGCCAAGAGUGGCUAUAUAUAAUAAGCCGGUUAUUUUACUUCCUCUAUACCGGAGUAGUACUAUUUGCUGCACAGUAUUACUGACCGCCAUAUUUGAGCACAACAUUAUUAUGCAUGGACCUUGACUAUGUACGUCACCAUGUGUCCAGAUCUGAGGUGUCGCGUGUACCAGAUGAACAGCGCCGAGUUCGACCCUCGUGAUGCUACGUGGGUGCCGAGGAACACUCUUGGAGAGUACUCGCUUUUCAUUGGGGACAACUACCCCAUUGUGAAGCGGAUGCCACCUUCCGUGCACGACACGGAAGGCUAGCCGUUCAUGAAGCAUGGUUGUGUCUUCAGUGCGCACCGUCGGAUGAACGACAUGCCGGGACACGCUAUCCCUGAUUUAUGCCGCUUCAGCUUGGAUGAGUCUCCAUCAUGUGGAACCGGACUAGAAAGCUGCGACAAUGAUUCCCGUUGCCCACCGCUAUGGAUCGUGCCAUCCAUGAAGAACACCUAGGACUGGAACCUGGAGGAGGACAUGUAGCCCAUCUAUAACGUGUAAGUGGAGUACGGUAAAUUGUGAAUGAUAGCGCUGUGAAUAUAUGUAGACUAGUCGUGCACAAAUUUAUCACAUGAAUUGGAGAUGAACUUGUGUGGCAUACUGGAAUUUGUCCUUUAGAAUUUAUUACUAGUAAAUGUGUUAUGUGUACGUGCAACUUGCGUGGUUUUUGCACGGGCUCCAACACGCUCUUUGAGAAAAAAAGGUGGCACAGCUUUGGAUAUAUUUGACGUGGCGGCAUCAUACAGUAGCAUCGUUCGCUAUAGUUGUAGUACGCUCCUACUAGGACGACAACUCCUAUAAAACCUUGCGCUUGGUUCUUUGCCUCUUCGGGAGGUUCAACAGUUCGUACUCGUGUGAACCUUGCACUUGGCUCUUCGCCUCUUUGGAAGGUCCAGCAAUGAUGAUACUAUAGUACACAUUAUGCUUCUGGCAAUCUAACACCGAUUGAACUAUUGCACGUCCACCGCGAGGGCAAGGGUGAGGGAGAGGGAGAGGGAGAGGGAGAGGGAGAGGGCGCUGUAGUCAAAACCCUCUCCUCGUCCUUCGAACCAUCGCGCGCGUGGGCGAGGGAGAGGCGUAGUAAGCAAGCUUCUCCUCGUUCGGUGAGUUGACGGGACACAUCAAAGCAGUACUAGUACUAGUCCAUACUGCGUCCUUUCCGGUUAAUAUGNNNNNNNNNNNNNNNNNNNNNNNNNNNNNNNNNNNNNNNNNNNNNNNNNNNNNNNNNNNNNNNNNNNNNNNNNNNNNNNNNNNNNNNNNNNNNNNNNNNNNNNNNNNNNNNNNNNNNNNNNNNNNNNNNNNNNNNNNNNNNNNNNNNNNNNNNNNNNNNNNNNNNNNNNNNNNNNNNNNNNNNNNNNNNNNNNNNNNNNNNNNNNNNNNNNNNNNNNNNNNNNNNNNNNNNNNNNNNNNNNNNNNNNNNNNNNNNNNNNNNNNNNNNNNNCUCGUGUGAACCUUGCACUUGGCUCUUCGCCUCUUUGGAAGGUCCAGCAAUGAUGAUACUAUAGUACACAUUAUGCUUCUGGCAAUCUAACACCGAUUGAACUAUUGCACGUCCACCGCGAGGGCAAGGGUGAGGGAGAGGGAGAGGGAGAGGGAGAGGGAGAGGGAGAGGGCGCUGUAGUCAAAACCCUCUCCUCGUCCUUCGAACCAUCGCGCGCGUGGGCGAGGGAGAGGCGUAGUAAGCAAGCUUCUCCUCGUUCGGUGAGUUGACGGGACACAUCAAAGCAGUACUAGUACUAGUCCAUACUGCGUCCUUUCCGGUUAAUAUGGCUUAAUUUCAAACGAAAAAAUACACUGGCGGUCAACGUAUGUAACAAUAUGCUCUUUACGGUCACUAUAUAUAGUUUUGCGGUGAUUAUACGAUCACUAGCUCAUCGUAGAGCACCAUAUUGCACCCUACUGACCGGCCACAUAGUCGACAUGGCACUUUGUUACUGGUCAAAUUGUCACCUGGUUUCUGGGUCCCACCUGUCAGUUGGCAGAGCAAAGAAAUAAGCUAAAAAACAAAGAGUGUAGUACAUCUACACUUCCAAUGCAUUUAGCCUUUAAUCUAAAUCGAUAUUGAUUGACUAAUGCACCAACUUGUGCUCUAGGUAUAGGAUACAUGUCUAUCCUUAAUUACAGCAUGCAACGACCUUCAUUUAAUCUUCUUCUCUCAAUGGUCACAUGCACACAUAAGUCUGCUACUUUUGGGCAUUAAUUAUGCCCUGGUCAAUGUGUAAAUCUCUAAAUGUACAGUCUUUCACGGACGUAGGGAGUAGGUUGAGCACUUGAGCGUGAGCGUGUGUGUUGCGUUGUGUGCUGUGUGCCGCAUCGGUGUGUGAGUGUUGCGUGUGUCCAUGUGUAUGUGUGAGUGUUGCAUGUUGCAUGCAUGGGGCUUACUCCCUCCCAUUGACAUGUUCAUAUUUCAAGCUUCCUCUAUUCCCUCCAUAUGGUGAUACUCCCUCUGUUCCCAAAUACGGAGUAAAAUCCUCCCUCUGUUCCCAAAUAUGGACUAUUUGUCUUUCUAGAGAUUUCAACAAGUGACUACAUACGGAGCAAAAUGAGUGAAGUGAGCGUAGAGGCAUAGGGAUAAUGUAGAAAGGAAGUCUUCGCGAUCCAUUAUUCCCCAUCUCGGUCAGAGAGAACUAUUCAACUAGUCUUCACAGUGAAGUGACAAUACACGCUGCAGCAGAUGGGACACUUAAUUAAUAAGCUGAACCAACGUGUUGGUGUUAGUAAAUCAGCCUUACCCAGUACUGCCAUCAUGUUUGCCAGUAGAGCACGCUUCUAUCCUCCAUUAACUCACAUAUGGGCCCUCUUGUGGUAGACCCACAUGUCAUCAGUGUAACUAUUUACACUCCAAAGGACAGUAUAUCCUGGUGGUAGUAGUAGAAUUGAGAUUUAAUGUACUUUCUUCCCCGUCUUCCACUCUUCUUCCUCCUCUCUUCUUCUUCCUCCUCUCUUCCCCAUCGUCGGCCGCACACCAUUUCCCCCCGCUCACUGCUCGCCCGCCCGCGCUAUCUUCCUUGGUAGCUUGCGCGUACCAUAUCCCCCUGCUCACUGCUCGGCCACACGAGGAGAAGCUUCUUCGCUCGCCCGCCCGAAUCCACUUCCCCGCUGGCUCGCAGGCAUCGAAAACCCUAAUGGCAGAACCGACUGACACGCAGAGCCGCGAUUGGAAUUCCCUCCCCGAUGUUCUCUUGGAGCAGAUCUGUAAUCGUAUGGACCUACUCAGCACCGUCCGUCUGGCCGCAUGCUCGGUGUCUUUGUACCGUCUACUCGUCUGCAACCGGCCGGCUCUUUUCAAGACACCCUGCUUGCUGAUGCCCGAUCCUCGCAGAAGGCCCAGACACCGACUUGACGAUCCUUCGGAGGUUGUCGUGGUGCCCCUCGACAUGCUACCACUACCCGUCCACCUGUCCUUCAUGCGCGGCCACUACUGGGCGGGCAUGAAGGCCAACUGGAUCGUCCUCAUCCACCAAUCCGGUAGUCCGUGUUGUCUCGUGGAUAUCUACACCCAGCGAGAGAUCACCCUUCCAUUUGGAUACCGCCGCCAUCGAGCCUCGCGGCCCGCCGGACACUCCUGCCUACUACACACGAGACGCGUCGAGCUUUUGGCUCAACCUCUGUUUGCUGAAGGUUGUAAUCUGCGAAGUGCCCACACCAUCAGAAGACUACAUGGAUUACAAGCUCAUUGUCGUGUUCAACAUGGGAUUAGUCUAUCUGGAAUCCGGUCGCCAUACAUGGUUAUGGCUCAUCGUCGAUCCUCUUUACCCAACACUUCUGUCUGAUGCUAUAGUGCAUGAUGGCAUCGUUUAUGCGGUCGACGCACAGAUUGGCUGCCUAUACUGGUGGAAUCUAUUGUCGUGUAAUUGUUCUAUCUCAUCUCAUCUUUACCUUAAGAAUACGACUUCCUGUUCAUUGUUACAAAUUUAGAAUAUAUAGUAUGUCUAUAACCACAUCAUUGCUAUAUAUAUGUUCCUCUCAUUUCCUAGAUUUUUAUGACCACACAUGUUAUUGUUAGAGUUGAUAUGAGAACAAUUGGUAUCUAAUGAUUGUUAGAAUAGAUAUUAUGAGUAUAACCUCAUGAUUGCUAUAUGUUACUCUCAUUUCCAGGAUUUUUAUAACAACGCAUGUUAUUGCUUAGAGUUGAUAUGAUAACUGUAGUAAGUGCUAUGGUAGAAUAUGAGUAGGCCCUGUCAUAUCUGUUUUCCUCUCAUUGUUACAUGAUGUUUGAACCAUGAUAUAUUUCUAGAAUAUGAAAGCCAUUGGCUUAUUUUUUUAACUUGGGGUAUGAUUGUGACCACGGCAUUGCAAUCCUCUGUCUAUGAUAUGUGUCACUAUUAUAAUAAUCUUAAUUCCACACACACUCUGAACAUGAUUGUUUAUUUUUGUCCUUUUGGUCUCCAAUUUGAAUUGUUGAAGCAGACGCAAAUGCGCCGGCCUUCAUGAUUCCAGGACCUGGAAUCAUACCAGCAGAUGGGUGGUGGUUUAUCGCUCGUUCAGCUGACGGUGGUCAUUUGAUGCUCAUUUGCACGUACCAAAUUGACCAAACCAUUUCAUCAAACCACAUGCAGUACAAUGCCUGGGGCGUUCGUGACAUUGAUGGCUAUGGCUGCUUCAUGUUCGAGAAAGAUCCCAGCUCCGUUGGGCCAGGCGUAUUCAACUGGAGGCGGGUUUACAGCCUUGGCAACCACUCCAUGUUACUCGCGCUCAAUUAUCCGAUCAUCCAACCAAUCAUCGAUCAUAUCACCGGCGAUGAUUACCGUGCUAUGCAACUUCCAUUCGCCAGGGGGGACUGUGUUUACACAUCAUACCAUGGGUUUCAUGAAUCACCAUAUCCAGAGAUUCGUCGACACAGCUUGUUGCCAGAUAAUCUUUAGUGUGUGAAAGGCAUCAAGCUUCCAUGCGAUGGAUGGAUUUUGCAAACCCGACAUGCGGCGAUGUGGUUCAUGCCAACAGCAAAUAUGCACAACUUGAUUCGUACUGAUAUGUAGACCGAGCCAUGUAUUCUCCUGCUGUAGCAUGACCCUCUUUUGUUGGAUAUUAUGUACUGUUGUUAGUUUGAAGCACUCCUCUGGUUUGAAGGAUAGAUACCUUUCUGGGAUCAAGUGCAUCCUAACUCACCUGCGCAGGAUGUACUGAUAAUGAUGAUGGAGAUCUCACCAUCUCAUUGAUUUGUUCAUACCAACCAUCGACAGCGAGCACGACAUAUGCUACACCCAUCCUGAGAAAUUUCCAGGUAAGACACCGAUCGGCCGUCUACUUGCACAAACAUAUUCCUUUGUUUAUAGCUCUAUUUUUCUUUUUAGACGCAGACCUGGUGAAGCAAUUACAAUUUGACAGUUAAUAGAAAGUGAAACAAGUGACUGCAACAUGCCAAAGAUGUUAUGAAAAUGCCAACUACGUACACUAAAACUUGUAUUCGACAAUACUGCAGGUAUCACACUGAGUGGCCUAAGCAAGCAUUUCUUCCAGCGCAAUUCCAGGGUGUUCAAAAGGGGCACGUGGACGCGUCACAAGAUACAGUCGGAGUGCGGCAUGCACGCGAUGUGGCACAACACCGGCAAUACCUUGCCGGUGAUGGUCAACGGCCGGCAGACGGGCAGCAAAAAGGUUCUGGUGCUGCACACCAACAAGAACUUCGACUAGCAGAGGACCAACUGGGUGAUGCACCAGUACCACCUCGGGGACCUGGAGCAAGAGAAGGAGCGGGAGCUAGUCCUCUGCAAGAUUUUCUACCAGACGAACACUAGGGCCAGGAGUAAAAAGAUUAUAAGUUAGUUUGGUAUUGGUACUUGUACUACCUUGUCGUUCGCAAGUUGGUAUUGUUGUUAACGAUCUUUUGGUAUGAACUUGGCAUUUGCUUCCAACUAUCAUGCCGAGGGUCGACAUGGAUAUAAAGCUGAAUCAUUUGUUUCGAAACGAAUUUUCAGGCACCUGAUUUUUAUUUGAUGGGUAGCAUAAGCACCCGCCGUUCAAAUUCCCAGUUCUCCAAAUUUUUCGAAACAAGUGCAUGCUCUUAUUAUCACGAUGAAAAAACAAUAUCCCUGCUGCAUCCCAGUUAUCAGUAUGUACUUGCAGAAUUCUCUCGUUUAUUGAGCACGUAUAUUGUUUUUUCAGGUCGAGCAAGUUUCAACUGGGCUGUAGACUGCCCAGGCUUGGUUUUGUUCUUAACAGGCCCAGCCCAUGACGACAACAGGGCACAAAGAUCCAGCAGGUAUCUACUGGCCUUUGGCCCGCCAGUGUUAGUUAUAUUUUGUCUUACAACAACCGCAUGCAGUUUUUUAACUGAAUCAAACACGCAGCCCAGUUCUAUUUUCCUCUUGAAACGCAGGUCCUACAUCCAUUUUCUAAUCUCUACCUAUAGUUUUACUAGUUCAUAUACACGUAUCAUUAUAUUUAAAAUACAUAAAAUUCCCUUUUCAUAUUUACAUCCUUAUUUUUGUUGUUGUUUUCCCUCCAAGCGCUGAUUUUUUACCACUGGUUUUCCCUUAAACCAACUCAAUUGUCCCAUGUCUUAUUUGCUUACAAAAACAAAACGAUUUUUUUGGAAAAUCAAUAAGUUCUUAAAAAAAUGUUUAUCAUUUUGGGAUUACAAAAGUUCGGACUCCACCGAAAUAUGCAAAAUAAGGUUGAACUUUUUGACCGUGGUCCUGGGCAGAAAAUGGGCUGUAAUAAAUUACUUAAGAAUUAGCAAAUGGGCUGCAAAUUAUUAAAACAUAGCAAAUGGGCUCUAUGUUGUCUGCCACAGAUUUGGAGGCUGAUUUGUGGGUGUACUAAGUUCAUGCGUACACAAGGUUUAUCAAAAAAGAAACUUAGUCAACAAUCGACUCUACCAGCAUCAGACCGUUAGAUGUCAAUCUAAUGGCAAUCGUGCUUCUUCAGUCUCCGAUCUUCCUGCCCUAGCCGCCCAAACCAGCGCUGUCGGAACCGCAUGCUCCCACCCCCCCGUGCCCGGCUGUGCUGCUGGGCAGGCCUCACGGCCCCAUCAUAUUCUCGCAUCCCUGGCCUGUCUAUCCCUCUACUCACCCACACCUCCUGUUAUUUUCUGGCGACGGCAGCCGAACCAGUCAACCCUCAUACUCUCCACUGCGCGGGCAGCCACUGCUGUGUCUUCCCCGGCUCCGUGUCAUUCCCUUCGUAGGCCUCGCCGUCGUCCACCGCCCUGGUGCUCUCGGCGCGGCGUGGUCUACGUGGUCAACGAACGACAUCCAUCGGAAGUGGACUGUACGUGGAGAGGCUGACAGCUGGGUCCACGGCCGCACACAAGGAAAUGCCUCCUUAUUACGCGCAAAAUAAUGAUUCCUCCACCUGGCAUCUGGGACCCGCCGGAAGGGCCUCUGUAUUUCGUGAAAAAAACGUUCCCUCCACUGACAGGUCGGACCCACCAACUAUAUCUUCGCACGCAAGGAAGUGCCUCCUUAUUGCCCACAAAAAAUGAAUACCCCCCUGCUAGCUGGGACCCACCACAGUGGGAGGCUGACUUGUGGGCCUACUAAGUUGACGGGGACGGAGGGCUUUGUCGACUUAGUCAAUAUGAACGAUUCUAGCUCCAGUGACCGUACGAUGUCCAUCCAACGGCCUUAGUGCUUCUUCAACCUCUGGUCUUCUUGCUCCAGCCACCUAAAGCAGCGCCGGUCGUGCCGCCUGCUCCUGCCUCCCAUGGCCGGCUGUGCUGCCGCGGAGGCCUCGCCACCCCCAUACUACUCCCACCGCUGGCCAGGCCAUCCCUCCACUCACCCACACCCCUUGUUAUUCUGCGGCGACGGCAGCCUCACGCCGCAGCCGAACCAGUGAACCCUCGUACUCCUCUCCGCGUGGGCAUCCACUGCCGCGUCUUCCCCAGCUCCGCGUCGUCCCCUUCCUAGGCCUCGCCGUCGUCCACCGCCUUGGUGCUCUUGGUGCGGAGUGGUCAAUGUGGUCAACGACCGACUCCAUCGGAAGAGUACUGUACGUGGAGAGGCUGACAGCUGGGUCCACGGCCGCAGCUGGGUCCACGGCCACAGCCCAGUUUUUUGUGAUUUGCAAAGUAAGUCGCUUUGUCAGGCCUGUUGGGCUGCAAAUCUUUCAAGACGAGGAGAGCUUCAUUCGGCUGGCCGAGAAAAUGGCCUAUCAGUAAUGAGAAAUGGGCUGUACAUUUUUAAAACACAUCAAACCGGCAAUUAGUUUCAAAUUUCUUUUUUUCAUUUUGAGAUUUUAAAAUUGCAUUGAUUUUUAUGCGUGGACAAUUUGUUGGAUUUUAUAUUGAUAUACAUUUAUUUUUAAAAUCAUUUUGAAUGUGACUCAAAAUUUCAGGAUUAAAAACAGUUCGGACCGCACCAGAAUAUGCAAAAUUUCGUAUAAUUUUUUAACCGUGGCCACAGUAUGGGCUGUAAUGCUAACAAAAAGAACAUGGGCUCCAAAAAAAACCUUAAGAAUUAGCAAAUGGGCUGUAAAUUAUUAGAAAUAAUGGCUGAUGGGCUGUAUGAUGUUUUCCACAGAUUUGAGGCUUUCCUAAAAAAAAGGUUGACGCACAAGCAGUGAUUGUUGGAUGUCCAUCCAACGGCCGUCGUGCUUCUUCAAUCUCUGCUCUUCCUGCUCCAGCUGCUCAAACAAGCGCCGACGGGACUGCCUGCUCUCUCCUCCCCACGGCCGGCUGUGCUACUGCGCAGGCCUCACCGCCCCAUCGUACUCCCAUCGCUGGCCUAGCCAUCCCUCUACUCACCCACACCUGCUGUUAUUCUCCGGCGACGGCAGAGGAACCAGUAAACCCUCGUACAGUCGUACUCCCCUCCGCGUGGGAAACAACUGCUGAGUCUUCCCUGCCUCCAUGUCGUUCCCUUCCUAGGCCUCGCCGUCGUCCACCGCCCUGGUGCUCUCAGCGCGGCCUGGUCAACGACCGACAUGCAUCUGAAGUGGACUGUAGAUGGAGAGGACGACAGCUGGGUCCACGGCCGCACACAAGGAAAUGCCUCCUUAUUACGCGCAAAAUAAUGAUUCCUCCACCUGACAUCUGGGACCCACCGAAAGGGCCUCUGUAUUUCGCGAAAAAAAUGUUACCGCCGCUGACAGCUUGGACCCACCAGCUAUAUCUUCGCACACAAGGAAGUGCCUCCUUAUUAUGCACAAAAAAAUGAAUACUCCCCCUGCUAGCUGGGACCAAGUAUAGUGGCAGGCUGACUUUUGGGCCUACUAAGUUGACGGGGAUGGAGGGCUUUGGCAACUUAGUAGUCAAUAUGCAUGAUUCUAGCUCCAGUGAUUGUUCGAUGUCCAUCCAACGGCCGUAGUGCUUCUUCAACCUCUGGUCUUCUUGCUCCAGCCGCCCAAACCAGCGCCGGUCGUGCCUCGUGCUCCUGCUUCCCGUGGCUGGCUGCGAUGCGGCGGAGGCCUCACCGCCCCCUACUACUUCCACCACUGGCCAGGCCAUCCCUCUACUCACCCACACCCCUUGUUAUUCUACGGCGAUGGCAGCCUCACACCGCAGUGAACCAGUAAACCCUCAUACUCCUCUACGCGUGGGCAUCCACUGCCGCGUCUUCCCCGGCUCCGCGUCGUCCCCUUCCUAGGCCUCGCCGUCGUCCACCACCUUGGUGCUCUUGGCGCGGCGUGGUCAACGUGUUCAAGGAACGGCUUCCAUCGGACGUGGACUGUACGUGGAGAGGCUGACAGCUGGGUCCACGGCCGCAGCAAGGAAGUGCCUCCUUAUUACGUGCAAAAUAAUUAUUCCUCCACCUGACAGCGGGGACCCACCGGACGGGCCACCGUAUCUCUCGAAAAAACGUUUCCCCUGACUACUGGGACCCACCAGCUACAUCUUCGCACGCAAGGAAGUGCGUCUGGGCAAAAAAAAACGAUUCGCCCCCUGACUGCUGUGACCCACCAGCUACAUCUUCGCAGGCAAGGAAGUGCCUGACAGUCGGGACCCACCUGGUUGAAGCGUAUGUAGCAUUGUCAUUCUGGUCGUGAACGUGUACAUGCAUACUGGUCGAUAUAGAGGCACGCACGUGUCAUAGUAGAGGCGCGCACGUAGCAUGUACACGUACGUACAACGGCUACGGUGCAAGAAAGUAAAUACGGCCAUGUACGUACAUACGGGCGGGGUCUUGAACGCCUACUCGCGCAUCCGUACGGCCAGGGCUCGUGUACAUGGCUAGGUCGGAACGGAGAAACUGCGUCGUCGUGUUCAUGGAGAGGCAACGGAAUGCGUCGUGUUCAUCGGGAGGCAACGGAAGGCGUGGGAGCCAACCGGCUUGGACGGAACAGCCGAUGGAAACAAGGCCUGGCGUACCGCAGAACGGAGGAAACGGCCUUGUGUUCGACCGGCCACGUUCGAAACGGGACCCUGUUCAUCGGGAGGGGUCGGGCGUACCGCAAAACGGAGGAAAUGGAACUCCUAUGGUCGAAACGGGGGUCCUGUUGAUCGGGAGGGGUGUGGCGUACCGCAAAACGGAGGAAACGGACUUGUGUUGGAGCGCUACGGUCGAAACGAGGGUCCUGCUCAUCGGGAGGGGUGUGGCGUACCGCAAAAUGGGACUCCACGGGAUACUGUUCAUCUCCACCGUCGACCCCCUCCAGCCUCCACGGGCUAUUGUUCAUCCACCGUCGACCUCCUCCAGCCUCCACCUGCGACUGUUCAUCCACGGGCUCCUGUUCAUCCAGCCUCCACCGCGCUCUACUCCACCGGCUACUGUUCAACCAGCCCUCUCCACGUGCUACUGUUCAACCACCCCCUCCACGUGCUACUGUUCAUCCAGCCCUCCAUCAUCUACCGUUCAUCCAGCCCUCCACGGGGUGGUCCUGUUCAUCCAGUCCUCCACGGGGUCCUGUUCAUUCAGCCCCAACCGGCUCGAUCGAUCGGGGUCCUGUUCAUCUAGAGGCAACACCACGGGGUCCUGUUCAUCCACCCCCACCGGGAACUGUUCAUCCAACCCCCCCAGCAACGCUCACUGUUCAUCCAGAGGCAACACCACAGGGUCCUUUUCAUACAUCCCCACCGGGAACUGUUCAUCCAAACCCCCCCAGCAACGCUCACUGUUCGUCCAGAGGCAGCAUUGAUCGGCUUCAGUUAGCAGCAGUAGCGAAGGAAUCGCUCGAUCGGGUUCAGUUAACAGCCAUCGAUCGAUCGCUCGGGUUCAGUAACGCGUAGCCUGCAGUGCAAUCGCUCGGGUUCAGUUAGAGCCCAACGCCUCGCACCCAUGCGUGUGCGUGUACGAGAGAAACGCGCAUCGCUCGGCCCCGACCACCCACCGUAACCGGGAACACCCCGAUAUUUUCCUCGCCCUCGCUUCUACCAUGGUUUUUUCCGUCAUGGACGGCCCAAAGAAUGUCAUGCAACCGCAUCUCCGGACCGCCCAGGAUGAAAAGCCCAUUUUCUGUCAUGAUUUUUUGUCAUAGAAGUAGGACCCCACCACAUCUAUGAUGAUUCUGGGUUUUGUCACAAUUAUCGUCAUAGAAGUGUCAUAAGCAUGACAGAAUUUUUUUUCAUUCGGCCCAAAAUGUUACGGAUGUGUCUUUUUUUGUAGUGAUAGUUUACACCUCCAGUCAUAUUCACGUAGUGCUUAGGCGAAGCCCUGCGCGGAUCACUUCACCAUCACUACGCCGUCGUGCUGAUGGAACUCUCCCUCGACACUUUGAUGGAUCAAGAGUUCGAGGGACGUCAUCGAGCUGAACGUGUGCAGAACUCGGAGGUGCCGUAUGUUUGGUGCUUGAUCGGUUGAAUCGAGAAGACGUUCGACUACAUCAACUAUGUUAAGCUUCCGCUUCCGCUUUUGGUCUACGAGGGUCGUGGACACACUCUCCCCCUCUCGUUGCUAUGCAUCUCCUAGAUAGAUCUUGCGUGAUCGUAGGAAUUUUUUUGAAAUUGCAUGCUACGUUCCCCAACAGUGGCAUCCGAGCCAGGUCUAUGCGUAGAUGAUAUGCACGAGUAGAACACAAAGAGUUGUGGGCGGUGAUAGUCAUACUGCUUACCACCAACGUCUUAUUUUGAUUCGGCGGUAUUGUUGGAUGAACCGGCCCGGACCAACCGUACAUGACCACGUUUAUGAGACCGGUUCCAUUGAUAGACAUGCAACUUGUUUUGCAUAAAGGUGACUGGCGGGUGUCUGUUUCUCCAACUUUAGUUGAAUCGAAUUUGACUACGGCCGGUCCUUGUUGAAGGUUAAAACAACAAACUUGACGAAACACUGUUGUGUUUUUGAUGCUUAGGUAAGAACGGUUCUUACUAGAAGCCCGUAGUAGCCACGUAAGACUUGCAACAAAAAAGUAGAGGACGUCUAACUUGUUUUUGCAGGGCAUGUUGUGAUGUGAUAUGGUUAAGACAUGAUGUGAUAUACGUUGUUGUAUGAGAUGAUGAUGUUUUGUAUAAGUUAUCGACAACUGGAAGGAGCCUUAUGGUUGUCGCUUUAUUGUAUGUAAUGCAAUCGCCAAGUAAUUGCUAUACUUUAUCACUAUGCGUUAGCGAUAGUUGUAGAAGCAAUAGUUGGGGAGACGAAAACGAUGCUACGAUGGAGAUCAAGGUGUCAAGCCUGUGAUGAUGGAUAUCAUGACGGUGCUUUGGAGAUGGAGAUCAAAGGCACAAGAUGAUGAUGGCCAUAUCAUGUCACAUAUUUUGAUUGCAUGUGAUGUUUAUCUUUUAUGCAUCUUAUUUUUCUUAGUAUGGCGGUAGCAUUAUAAGAUGAUCCCUCACUAAAAUUUCAAGGUAUAAGUGUUCUCCCUGAGUAUGCACCGUUGCGACAGUUCGUCGUGCCGAGACACCAUGUGAUGAUCGGGUGUGAUAAGCUCUACGUUCACAUACAACGGGUGUAAGACAGUUUUGCACAUGCGGAAUACUCGGGUUAAACUUGACGAGCCUAGCAUGUACAUACAUGGCCUCAGAACACUGGAGACCGAAAGGUCAAACGUGAAUCAUAUAGUAGCUAUGAUCAACAUAGAGAUGUUCACCAUUGAAAACUACUCCAUCUCAUGUGAUGAUUGGACAUGGUUUAGUUGAUAUGGAUCACGUGAUCAUUUAGAUGACUCAAGGGAUGUCUAUCCAAGUGAGAGUUCUUAAGUAAUAUGAUUAAUAGAACUUAAUUUUAUGAUAAAGAUUAAAAGUAAAGAUUGCAAAGUAAACAAAGAUAGAAAUAGCUUGUUAACGGAAGAUUAAUAUGAUGGAAAAUAGACCCCGGGGCCAUAGGUUUCACUAGUGGCUUCUCUCAAGAUAGCAUAAGUAUUACGGUGGGUGAACAAAUUACUAUCGAGCAAUUGAUAGAAUUGAGCAUAGUUAUGAGAAUAUCUAGGUAUGAUCAUGUAUAUAGGCAUCACGUCCGAGACAAGUAGACCGACUCCUGCCUGCAUCUACUACUAUUACUCCACACAUCGACCGCUAUCCAGCAUGCAUCUAGAGUAUUAAGUUCAUAAGAACAGAGUAACGCUUUAAGAAAGAUGACAUGAUGUAGAGGGAUAAACUCAUGCAAUAUGAUAUAAACCCCAUCUUUUUAUCCUCGAUGGCAACAAUACAAUACGUGCCGUUUCCCCUACUGUCACUGGGAUCGAGCACCGCAAGAUUGAACCCAAAGCUAAGCACUUCUCCCAUUGCAAGAAAGAUCAAUCUAGUAGGCCAAACCAAACUGAUAAUUCGAAGAGACUUGCAAAGAUAACCAAUCAUACAUAAAAGAAUUCAGAGAAGAUUCAAAUAUUUUUCAUUGAUUAUCUUGAUCAUAAACCCACAAUUCAUCGGAUCUCGACAAACACACCGCAAAAGAAGAUUACAUCGAAUAGAUCUCCAAGAGAAUCGAGGAGAACUUUGUAUUGAGAUCCAAAGAGAGAGAAGAAGCCAUCUAGCUAAUAACUAUGGACCCGAAGGUCUGAGGUAAACUACUCACACAUCAUCGGAGAGGCUAUGGUGUUGAUGUAGAAGCCCUCUAUGAUCAAUGCCCCCUCCGGCAGGAUGCCGGAAAAGUCCCCAAGAUGGGAUCUCACGGGUACAGAAGGUUGGGGCGGUGGAAUUAGGUUUUCGUGGUGCUCUUCGAUGGUUUGGGGGUACGUAGGUAUAUAUAGGAGGAAGAAGUAGGUCGGUGGAGCCACGAGGGGCCCACGAGGGUGGAGGGCGCGCCCACCUGCCUUGUGGCCUCCUCGGUGAUUUCUUGACGUCCACUCCAAGUCCUCUGGAUCACGUUUUUUCCAAAAAUAACUCUACCGAAGGUUUCAUUCCAUUUGGACUCCGUUUGAUAUUCCUUUUCUGCGAAACACUGAAAUAGGCAAAAAUACAGCAAUUUGGGUUGGGCCUCCGGUUAAUAGGUUAGUCCCAAAAAUAAUAUAAAAGUGUAUAAAUAAGCCCAUUAAACAUCCAAAACAGAAUAUAUAAUAGCAUGGAACAAUAAAAAAUUAUAGAUACAUUGGAGACGUAUGAACCCACUCCAAAGAAGAGGGGUAUAUUAUAUCUUAGUCCUGAAGAUAUGCAAGAGGCAAAUAAAUCUAUGAAGGAAAAAGGUAUUAAAGCCGAGGAUGUUAAAAUUUUACCUCCUAUUGAAGAAAUACAUGGGCUAAAUACACCACCACUGCCUAAGGUGGUAGAUGUAAAUUCUCUUAUGAAGUUUAAUGAAAAUGACAAUCCUCACAAUACGCAUCCUCGUCAAUGCCUUUACGAGUUUGAAAACUACAUUAGAAAACAAGAUCACUUCAAUGCAAAUGUUAUGAAACAAUUGAAAUACAACUCUGAUAUGAUUGCUCGCUUGAGUGACUUGUUAUUUAGAAUCUCAAAUGAUGUUAGAGGUGUUGGAAAACAUGCUUCUAUGGUUCAAACUCAACUAGAACAAGUUGCUAAAUCACAAAGAGAAUUACUUGAUGAAAUGAAUAAUAAUAUGCAUGACUUUGUUGUUAGAGUUGCAACUAGAGGAGGUAAAAUGACUCAGGAACCACUUUAUCCUGAGGGAGACCCAAAAAGAAUUAUACAAGACUCACAAAGAAACAACACUAGUGCACCUAGUCCUUCUAAAAAUAAAAAGAAAAAGAAAAAUGAUAGGACUUUGCAUGCUUCUAGUGAACCUGAAAUAGAAAAAGCUCCUGAUAAUGAAAAUGAAAUUUCUAUCUCAGAUGCUAAAACUCAAUCUGGUAAGGAGCAUCCACCUAGUGAUAAUGAAAAAGAUAAAGAUGAUGUUCAUGAAGAUGCUCAACCAAAUGAAAAAGAACCAGAUAAUGAUGUUGAUAUAGAACCACCUGUUGAUCUUGAUAACCCACAACCUAAGAAUAAAAGGUAUGCCAAAAGUGACAUUGUGGCUAGGAAACACGGUAAAGAAAGAGAACCGUGCGUUCAAAAAUAUAUGCCUUUUCCACCCAAGUCAACUAAAAAGAACGAUGAUGAAGAAUUUGAACUCUUUGCUGAAAUGCUGAGGCCAGUCUUUUUGCGUACUCGCUUGACUGAUAUCUUGAAAAUGCCUCCUUAUGCAAAGUAUAUGAAAGACAUCAUCACAAAUAAGAGAAAAAUACCGGAAGCUGAAAUCUCCACUAUGCUUGCUAAUUAUAGUUUCAAAGAUGGAGUACCUAUAAAACUUGGAGAUCCGGGAAUACCAACUAUACCUUGCUCCAUCAAAAAGAAUUAUGUGAAAACUGCUUUGUGUGAUUUAGGAGCUGGUGUUAGUGUUAUGCCUUUCUCUUUAUAUAAAAGACUUGACUUGAAUAAACUCACACCUACUAAAAUAUCUUUGCAAAUGGCUAACAAAUCAACUGCCAUACCUAUCGGUAUCUGUGAGGAUGUGCCUGUUGUUGUUGCUAAUGUUACUAUUUUGACUGACUUUGUUAUACUUGAGAUGCCCGAGGACGACAACAUUUCGAUUAUCCUUGGUAGACCCUUCCUGAAUACUGCAGGGGCUGUUAUUGAUUGCAAUAAAAGCAAGGUCACUUUUCAUAUCAAUGGUAAGGAGCAUACGGUGCACUUUCCGAAGAAACAAUUCCAAGUGAAGGGUAUUAAUGUUAUUGAAAAAUCUCUGACAAUCACUAUUGGAAGUUUUCAAAUACCUCUACCUACUGUCAAAAGGAAAUAUGAAAUGCUUAUUGUUGGGGAGAUGCAAAUCCCCAUUGAGGUAACUUAGUGAUUUACGAAAGUUCUUCGGUUUCAUGCUAAUCGAAAGUGGUUGUUAAUAAGACCUGAUCAACCUUAUUAACGAAUCAUUUUUGAACAGUAUGAAGUUGAUGAAUUUAGUAAGCACUACCUUUUGUCUUUACUUUUUGUUUUCUGUUUUUAUUAGUUAAAUAAAAUAAAAUGCCAUAUUUUGUCUGUUUUCUGAAUUUUCCGUGCAAUAAAAAAAUGACCCAAAAAUAAAAGUUCUCAGAAUGCCCUGAAAAUUUUAUACGAUUUUUUUUGAAUAUUUAAGAAUUUUUGGUGCAAAUAAUACCAGAGGGUGGUGCACCAGGUGGGCACAACCCACCUGGGCGUGCCCUCAUGGGUUGUGGUCCCCACAUGGGCCCCCUCACUUAUCUCUUCAUCCCACAUUGUCACCUACCUCCAGGAAAAAAUCACUCUUGCUCUCUCUCCCGUGUUGUUGAGCUCAAGCCUGCGGAUUUCGAUCUCUUUGCUCGAAGCUCCGUUUCCGAAACUGUUUCGGGGGAUUGUUGCUUGGUAUGUGACUCCACUAUUUGUCCAAUUAGUUUUUGUUUUAGUGGUUUAUACUUUGAAUAAAUAGCUAAUCUUGGUGUUGUUGUAGAUGUGCUUGCAUGUUCAAUUCUUAGUGUUCUAAGUAGUUUGAAUGCUUGCUAUGGCCUCUAUGUAUCCCUAUGAGUAGUUGCUAUUAGUUUUGUGAAGUUUUGUUGGUAAAAUUUUGUGAACUAAAAAUUCAGAUUUUUGUUCAUAUGAAAAAUAGUACGCGGACAUCAUGAACCUGUUUGGAAGGAGUUCUUCGAGGAGAAGGUCCUCGGGGGCAUCUUCUAGUGACAGUUCUGCUCGCCAGUCUUAUGUUGAACCAAGUGAAAGUUCCACGCAAGAUGCCGCCACCAAAACAUGCUUAUGGCCUUGCAAUGAGUAUAUGAUGCAAGUGGGAAAUAAGGAGGAAUUUGAGCAAUAUGUUCACAAUGCCGGACUCGGUCCCUACCUUUCAGAUAAGUGUGAACAGUGCAGUCUUCUCACUGAAUCAUUUAUCAAAGGGUUUAAAUAUUUUCCACGUGAGUCUAGGGUGUCGUUUAUGCAUUAUGAUAAUCCAUUUUGGGGUUCGCUUGAUGAGCCACCAAAGGCUGAGUAUGAGUCCUUCUUGACUAGCCUUUGUUACGGUGAAAAUAGAGGAGUGAGGCAAGGAAGAAUAAAGAGCAUUCACUUUCCCGCAAUUCAGUACUAUGCAUUAUUUAACGGGAAGUGCAUAGUAGGCAAGCAAGACUGUAGCAUACUUUGUGCGCCAGACUUGAGCCUCUUUCACACCGCUCUCACCGGUGAAAGGAAUUGUAACCUUGGAGCGAUUGUUGCACGUAGACUUCAGCAUAACGCCAAAAGUGGCUGGUUCUAUGGUAGAAUUUAUGCCACGCAUUUAGCUCGAGGGCUGGGUGUUUCGCCUUUACCCUUUGAUCCUAUCCUACCCAUGCAAUAUUUAGAUUUUGAGACCUUAACAGAUCAGAAGAUUCUCAAGGGAAAGGCUGAUAACUUCACUUAUAAUCUGAUGUUUAACCAAUCACAUGUUGUGGACACAUAUUUGCCUGCGCCUGCUCUUUUUGACUAUAAUAGUAGGGAAAGAUAUUUUGUUCUUGAGAGCGAGGCCCGAGCUCACAACGCAGCAGUGUUGGCGGCACGGCGUGCUGAGGCCUCUGCACCGAGAGCCUCUGUGAGCUGCCACGUCGACUACUACCCUCCAGGCUACUGAUCGACUACCAAGCUAGGUGCUACCUCUUGAGCAUGCGUUGGUUUUUCCCUUGAAGAGGAAAGGGUGAUGCAGCAAAGUAGCGUAAGUAUUUCCCUCAGUUUUUGAGAACCAAGGUAUCAAUCCAGUAGGAGGCCACACGCAAGUCCUUCGUACCUACACAAACAAAUAAGAACCUUGCAACCAACGCGAUAAAGGGGUUGUCAACCCCUUCACGGCCACUUGCAAAAGUGAGAUGUGAUAAAGAUGAUAAGAUAAUAUUUUUGGUAUUUUUAUCAUAAAGAUUAAAAGUAAAGAUUGCAAAAUAAACGGCGAAAGAAAUAGCUCGUUGACGGGAGAUUAAUAUGAUGGAAAAUAGACCCCGGGGACAUAGGUUUCACUAGUGGCUUCUCUCAAGAUAGCAUAAGUAUUACGGUGGGUGAACAAAUUACUGUCGAGCAAUUGAUAGAAAAGUGCAUAAUUAUGAGAAUAUCUAGGCAUGAUCAUGUAUAUAGGCAUCACGUCCGCAACAAGUAGACCGACUCCUGCCUGCAUCUACUACUAUUACUCCACACAUCGACCGCUAUCCAGCAUGCAUCUAGAGUAUUAAGUUCAUAAGAACAGAGUAACGCAUUAGGUGAGAUGACAUGAUGUAGAGGGAUAAACUCAAGCAAUAUGAUAUAAAUCCCAUCUUUUUAUCCUUGAUGGCAACAAUACAAUACGUGUCAUUUCCCCUACUGUCACUGGGAUCGAGCACCGCAUGAUUGAACCCAAAGCUAAGCACUUCUCCCAUUGCAAGAAAGAUCAAUCUAGUAGGCCAAACCAAACUGAUAAUUCGAAGAGACAUGCAAAGAUAACCAAUCAUACAUAAAAGAAUUUAGAGAAGAUUCAAAUAUUGUUCAUAGAUAAUCUUGAUCAUAAACCCACAAUUCAUCGGAUCUCGACAAGCACACCGCAAAAAGAGUUACAUCGAAUAGAUCUCCAAGAAGAUCGAGGAGAACUUUGUAUUGAGAUCCAAAGAGAGAGAACAAGCCAUCUAGCUAAUAACUAUGGACCCGAAGGUCUGUGGUAAACUACUCACACAUCAUCGGAUAGGCUAUGGUGUUGAUGUAGAAGCCCUCCGUGAUCGAUGCCCCCUCCGGCGGGGCGCCGGAAAAGGCCCCAAGAUGGGAUCUCAUGGGUACAGAAGGUUGCGGCGGUGGAAAUAGGGUUUCGUGGUGCUCCUUGAUGGUUUCGAGGUACGUAGGUAUAUAUAGGAGGAAGAAGUAGGUCGGUGGAGCCACAAGGGGCCCACGAGGGUGGAGGGCGCGCCCAGGGGGGUAGGCGCAGCCCCCUGCCUCGUGGCCUCCUCGGUGAUUUCUUGACGCCCACUCCAAGUUCUCUGGAUCACGUUUGUUCAAAAAAUAACUCUCCCGAAGGUUUCAUUCCGUUUGGACUCCGUUUGUUAUUCCUUUUCUGCGAAACACUGAAAUAGGCAAAAAAACAGCAAUUUGCACUGGGCCUUGGGUUAGUAGGUUAGUCCCAAAAAUAAUAUAAAAGUAUAUAAAUAAGCCCAUUAAACAUCCAAAACAGAAUAUAUAAUAGCAUGGAGCAAUCAAAAAUUGUAGAUACGUUGGAGACGUAUCAAGCAUCCCCAAGCUUAAUUCCUGCUCGUCCUCGAGUAGGUAAAUGAUAAAAACAAUUUUUUUGAUGUGGAAUGCUACUUAGCAUAUUAUUCAAUGUAUUUUAUUUAUUGUGGCAUGAAUGUUCAGAUCCGAAAGAUUCAAGAUAAAAGUUUAAUAUUGACAUGAAAAUAAUAAUACUUCAAGCAUACUAACAAAGAAAUCAUGUCUUCUCAAAAUAACAUGGCCAAAGAAAGUUAUCCCUACAAAAUCAUAUAGUCUGGCUAUGCUCUAUCUUCACCACACAAAGUAUUUAAAUCAUGCACAACCCCGAUGACAAGCCAAGCAAUUGUUUCAAUCUUCACGCAAUACAUGAGCGUGAGCCAUGGACAUGGCACUAUGGGUGGAAUAGAAUGGUGGUUGUGGAGAAGACAAAAAGGAGAAGAUAGUCUCUCAUCAACUAGGCGUAUCAAUGGGCUAUGGAGAUGCCCAUCAAUAGAUAUCAAUGUGAGUGAGUAGGUAUUGCCAUGCAACGGAUGCACUAGAGCUAUAAGUGUAUCAAAGCUCAACAAAAGAAACUAAGUGGGUGUGCGUCCAACUCGCUUGCUCACGAAGACCUAGGGCAUUUUGAGGAAGCCCAUCAUUGGAAUAUACAAGCCAAGUUCUAUAAUGUAAAGUUCCCACUUAGUAUAUGAAAGUGACAAAAUAAGAGAAUCUCUAUCACGAAGAUCAUGGUGCUACUUUGAAGCACAAGUGUGGAAAAAGGAUAGUAACAUUGUCCCUUCUCUCUUUUUCUCUCAUUUUUUGGGCCUUCUCUUUUUUUUUAUUUUCUUUUGGCCUCUUUUUUUCAUUUUUUUUCUUUCAUCCGGAGUCUCAUCCCGACUUGUGGGGAAAUCAUAGUCUCCAUCAUCCUUUCCUCACUUGGGACAAUGCUCUAAUAAUGAUGAUCAUCACACUUUUAUUUACUUACAACUCAAAGAUUACAACUCGAUACUUAGAACAAAAUAUGACUCUAUAUGAAUGCCUCCGGCGGUGUACCGGGAUAUGCAAUGAAUCAAGAGUGACAUGUAUGAAAGAAUUAUGAAGGUGGCUUUGCCACAAAUACAAUGUCAACUACAUUAUCAUGAAAAGCAAUAUGACAAUAAUGGAGCAUGUCAUAACAAACGGAACAGUGGUAAGUUGCAUGGCAAUAUAUCUCGGAAUGGCUAUGGAAAUUCCAUAAUAGGUAGGUAUGGUGGCUCUUUUGAGGAAGGUAUAUGGUGGGUGUAUGAUACCGGCGAAAGGUGCGCGGUAUUAGGGAGGCUACCAAUGGUGGAAGGGUGAGAGUGCGUAUAAUCCAUGGACUCAACAUUAGUCAUAAAGAACCCACAUACUUAUUGCAAAAAUCUAUUAGUUAUCGAAACGAAGUACUACACGCAUUCUCCUAGGGGGAUAGAUUGGUAGGAAAAGACCAUCGCUCGUCCCCGACCGCCACUCAUAAGGAAGACAAUCAAUAAAUAAAUCAUGCUCCGACUUCAUCACAUAACGGUUCACCAUACGUGCAUGCUACGGGAAUCACAAACUUUAGAACAAGUAUUUCUCAAAUUCACAACUACUCAACUAGCAUGACUCUAAUAUCACCAUCUUCAUAUCUCAAAACAAUUAUCAAGUAUCAAACUUCUCUUACUAUUCAAUGCACUUUAUAUGAAAGUUUUUAGUAUAUCCAUCUUGGAUGCCUAUCAUAUUAGGACUAAUUUUAUAACCAAAGCAAAUUACCAUGCUGUUCUAAAGGACUCUCAAAAUAAUAUAAGUGAAGCAUGAGAGAUCAAUCAUUUCUAUAAAAUAUAACCACCACCGUGCUCUAAAAGAUAUAAGUGAAGCGCUAGAGCAAAAUUGUUUAGCUCAAAAGAUAAGUGAAGCACAUAGAGUAUUAUAAUAAAUUCCAAUUAAUGUGUGCCUCCCUCAAAAGGUGUGUACAGAAAGGAUGAUUGUGGUGAACUAAAAAUCAAAGACUCAAAUCAUACAAGACGCUCCAAGCAAAACACAUAUCAUGUGGUGAAUAAAAAAUAUACCUCCAAGUAAAGUUACCAAUGGACGAAGACAAAAGAGGGGAUGCCUUCCGGGGCAUCCCCAAGCUUAGGCUUUUGGGUUGUCCUUAGAUUUUACCUUGGGGUGCCUUGGGCAUCCCCAAGCUUAGGCUCUUGCCACUCCUUAUUCCAUAAUCCAUCAAAUCUUUACCCAAAACUUGAAAACUUCACAACACAAAACUUAACAGAAAAUCUCGGGAGCUCCAUUAGCGAAAGAAAACAAAACAGCACUUCAAGGUACUGUAAUGAACUCAUCAUUUAUUUAUAUUGGUGUUAAACCUACUGUAUUCCAACUUCUCUAUGGUUCAUAACCUCCGAUACUAGCCAUAGAUUCAUCAAAAUAAGCAAACAACACACGAAAAACAGAAUCUGUCAAAAACAGAACAGUCUGUAGUAAUCUGUACCUAACGCAAACUUCUGGGACUCCAAAAAUUCUAAAAUAAAUUUCUGUACGUGAGUAAUUUGUCUAUUAAUCAUCUGCAAAAAUAAUGAACUAAAUAGCACUCUCCAGUAAAAAGUUGUAGCUAAUCUCGUGAGCGCUAAAGUUUCUGUUUUUUACAGCAAGAUCAAAAAGACUUCACCCAUGUCUUCCCCAAGGUUCUACAUGGCACAAACACUAAAUAAAACACAAAAACACAUCUAACCAGAAGCUAGAUGGAUUAUUUAUUCCUAAACAGAACCAAAAAGCAAGAAACAAAAACAAAAUUGGGUUGCCUCCCAACAAGCGCUAUCGUUUAACGCCCCUAGCUAGGCAUAAAGGCAAGGAUAGAUCUAGGUAUUGUCAUCUUUGGCAUGCAAUCCAUAAGUGGCUCUCAUAAUAGAUUCAUAAGGUUAUUUAAUUUUCUUUCUAGGAAAGUGUUCCAUGCCUUUCCUUAACGGAAAUUGGAAUCUAAUAUUUCCUUCCUUCAUAUCAAUAAUUGCACCAAUCGUUCUAAGGAAAGGUCUACCAAGAAUAAUAGGACAUGAAGGAUUGCAGUCUAUAUCAAGAACAAUGAAAUCUACGGGCACAUAAUUCCUAUUUGCAACAAUAAGAACAUCAUUAAUUCUUCCCAUAGUUUUCUUAAUGGUGGAAUCCGCAAGGUGCAAGUUUAAAGAACAAUCAUCAAAUUCACAGAAACCCAACAAAUCACACAAAGUUUUUGGAAUAGUGGAAACACUAGCACCCAAAUCACACAAAGCAUAGCAUUCAUGAUAUUUAAUUUUAAUUUUAAUAGUAGGUUCCCACUCAUCAUAAAGUUUUCUAGGGAUAGAAACUUCCAAUUCAAGCUUUUCUUCAUAAGAUUGCAUUAAAGCAUCAACAAUAUGUUUAGUAAAAGCCUUAUUUUGGCUAUAAGCAUGCGGAGAGUUUAGCACGGAUUGCAACAAAGAAAUACAAUCUAUUAAAGAACAAUUAUAAUAAUUAAAUUCCUUGAAAUCCAAGAUAGUGGGUUCAUUGCUAUCUAAAGUCUUGACCUCUUCAUCCCACUUUUACCAAUUUUUGCAUCAAGAUCUAAAAACUCCGAAUCAUUGGGACGCCCUUUAACUAAAGUUGACUCAUCUCCAGUCCCAUCAUUAUCAAGAUUCAUAUUGCAAAACAAAGAUUUAAUAGGAGACACAUCAAUUACUUUUAGAUCUUCAUCCUUAUUAUCAUGAAAACUAGAAGAACACGCUUUUAUAAAGCAAUCUUUCUUAGCACGCAUCCUAGCGGUUCUUUGUUUGCACUCAUCAAUGGAAAUUAUAAUGGCUUUGAGAGACUCAUUGAUAUCAUGCUUAGGUGGAAUAGAUCUAAGUUUCAAAGAAUCAACAUCAAGAGAAAUUCUAUCCAUGUUCCUAGCCAACUCAUCAAUCUUAGGCAAUUUUUCUUCAAGCAAAGCAUUGAAAUUAUUUUGGGAAAUCAUAAAUUCUUUAACACUAGUCUCAAAAUCAGAGGGCAUCUUAUUGAAAUUUCCAUAAGAGUUGUUGUAGGAAUUACCAUAAUUAUUAGAGGAAUUACUAGGAUACGGCCUAGGAUUAAAGUUUCCUCUAUAAGCGUUGUUACGAAAAUUGUUCCUACCAACAAAAUUUUCACAUCCAUAGAUUCAUUAUUAUUCUCAAUCAAAGUAGACAAAGGCAUAUCAUUGGGAUCAGAAGAAACACUCUUAUUUGCAAACAAUUUCAUAUGUUCAUCCAUCUUUCCACUCAAAACAUUAAUCUCUUCAAUUGCGUGCACCUUUUUACUAGUAGAUCUUUCAGUGUGCCAUUGAGAAUAAUUACCAUAAUAUUAUCUAGGAGUUUAGUAGCUUCUCCUAAGGUGAUUUCCAUAAAAGUGCCUCCCGCGGCCGAAUCUAAAAGAUUUCUAGAAGCAAAAUUCAAUCUGGCAUAAUUUUUUUGUAUAAUCAUCCAUAAAUUCAAACCAUGUGUAGGGCAAUUACGUAUCAUUAAUUUCAUCCUCUCCCAAGCUUGUGCAACAUGUUCAUGAUCAAGUUGCUUAAAAUUCAUAAUAUCGUUUCUAAGAGAGAUGAUCUUAGCGGGAGGAAAAUACUUAGAUAUAAAAGCAUCUUUGCACUUAUUCCAAGAAUCAAUACUAUUUUUAGGCAAAGACGAAAACCAAGUUUUAGCACGAUCUCUAAGCGAAAAAGGAAAUAGCUUCAAUUUAAAAAUAUCAUUGUCCACAUCUUUCUUCUUUUGCAUAUCACACAAAUCAACAAAGCUAUUUAGAUGGGUAGCGACAUCUUCACUAGGAAGGCCGGCGAAUUGAUCUUUCAUGACAAGAUUCAGCAAAGCAGCAUUAAUUUCACAAGAUUCAGCAUCAGUAAGAGGAGCAAUCGGAGUGCUAAGAAAAUCAUUGUUGUUGGUAUUGGCAAAGUCACACAAUUUAGUAUUAUCUUGAGCCAUCAUGACAAGCAAACAAUCCAACACACAAGCAAACAAGAAUCAAGCGAAAAAGAGGCGAACGGAAAAAGAGGGCUAAUAAAAACGGCAAGUGUGAAGUGGGGGAGAGGAAAACGAGAGGCAAAUGGAAAAUAAUGUAAUGCGAGGGAUAAGAGUUUGUGAUGGGUACUUGGUAUGUCUUGACUUGUGCGUAGACUCCCCGGCAACGGCGCCAGAAAUGGCUCAUUGUCGGGAGAUCAAAUCUUGAAUUGACUUGGUGUACACCUCCCCGGCAACGGCGCCAGAAAUCCUUCUUGCUACCACUUGAGCAUGCGUUGGUUUUUCCCUUGAAGAGGAAAGGGUGAUGCAACAAAGUAGCGUAAGUAUUUCCCUCAGUUUUUGAGAACCAAGGUAUCAAUCCAGUAGGAGGCCACACGCAAGUCCCUCGUACCUACACAAACAAAUAAGAACCUUGCAACCAACACGAUAAAGGGGUUGUCAAUCCCUUCACAACCACUUGCAAAAGUGAGAUCUGAUAGAGAUGAUAAGAUAAUAUUUUUGGUAGGAUUGCAAAAUAAACGGCGACAGAAAUAGCUCGUUGACGGGAGAUUAAUAUGAUGGAAAAUAGACCCGGGGGCCAUAGGUUUCACUAGUGGCUUCUCUCAAGAUAGCAUAAGUAUUACGGUGGGUGAACAAAUUACUGUCGAACAAUUGAUAGAAAAGUGCAUAAUCAUGAGAAUAUCUAGGCAUGAUCAUGUAUAUAGGCAUCACGUCCGCAACAAGUAGACCGACUCCUGCCUGCAUCUACUACUAUUACUCCACACAUCGACCGCUAUCCAGCAUGCAUCUAGAGUAUUAAGUUCAUAAGAACAGAGUAACGCAUUAGGUAAGAUGCCAUGAUGUAGAGCGAUAAACUCAAUCAAUAUGAUAUAAACCCCAUCUUUUUAUCCUCGAUGGCAACAAUACAAUACGUGUCGUUUCCCCUACUGUCACUGGGAUCGAGCACCGCAUGAUUGAAACCAAAGCUAAGCACUUCUCCCAUUGAAAGAAAGAUCAAUCUAGUAGGCCAAACCAAACUGAUAAUUUGAAGAGACUUGCAAUAACCAAUCAUACAUAAAAGAAUUCAGAGAAGAUUCAAAUAUUGUUCAUAGAUAAUCUUGAUCAUAAACCCACAAUUCAUCGGAUCUCGACAAGCACACCGCAAAAAGAGUUACUCGAAUAGAUCUCCAAGAAGAUCGAGGAGAACUUUGUAUUGAGAUCCAAAGAGAGAGAAGAAGCCAUCUAGCUAAUAACUAUGGACCCGAAGGUCUAUGGUAAACUACUCACACAUCAUCGGAUAGGCUAUGGUGUUGAUGUAGAAGCCCUCCGUGAUCGAUGCCCCCUCCGGCGGGGCGCCGGAAAAGGCCCCAAGAUGGGAUCUCAUGGGUACAGAAGGUUGCGGCGGUGGAAAUAGGGUUUCGUGGUGCUCCUUGAUGGUUUCGGGGUACGUAGGUAUAUAUAGGAGGAAGAAGUAGGUCGGUGGAGCCAUGAGGGGCCCACGAGGGUGGAGGGCGCGCCCAGGGGGGUAGGCGCAGCCCCCUGCCUCGUGGCCUCCUCGGUGAUUUCUUAACGCCCUCUCCAAGUUCUCUGGAUCACGUUUGUUCAAAAAAUAACUCUCCCGAAGGUGUCAUUCCGUUUGGACUCCGUUUGUUAUUCCUUUUCUGCGAAACACUGAAAUAGGCAAAAAAACAGCAAUUUGCACUGGGCCUUGGGUUAGUAGGUUAGUCCCAAAAAUAAUAUAAAAGUAUAUAAGUAAGCCCAUUAAACAUCCAAAACAGAAUAUAUAAUAGCAUGGAGCAAUCAAAAAUUGUAGAUACGUUGGAGACGUAUCACUAGGCCAAAAGCCUAAGCUUGGGGGAGUACGUGUUUCUCACCGACAUUAUAUUCAUGUCUACAUAUCAUUCUAUUUGUUGGUGUUCACACUCUUUCAUUGUACUAUCGUGUUUAGAUUUAUUUUCUUGCUUUCUUCUUGUGUGAUUGAAAAACUUUAGAAAAACCAAAAAAAAA
rnacentral:lncRNA from 1 species